rnacentral:lncRNA from 1 species
AGGCCGCCCUGCUAGGGCCGGAGGGAGGUGGGCACGCCGGGCUCGGGACCUUCCCGGGGUCCUGCGCCCGCCCGGCCUCCCGCCCUGGGCAUGGUUGGCCCACUCCUCCCGCAGCCACCAACCUGACAGCCCCCGAGGGCGACUCCGCCGACAGACCGCCAUGCACCGGGCCCCGCCACCAGCGCCGGCCCCACAACCCGCCUGCGCCAUAGCCCGCCCGCCCGCGCGCAGCUUGCCUCGCGCGAUAUCCAGGUUCCAGGGCCGCCGCACUUUCCUUUCCUCUUGGCGCGCCUCUACCGGGCCCCGGAACCCGUAUAGAAAAUACCGGGCACGGUCCACCCCGCCCCCCGCUUCGCCGCGGCAGCCAUCCAACUUAUCCUGGUUCCGGGGCUCCUGGAGCCCAGGCGGCCGGGAUCUGAACCGAGCUCUUCGGAGCCCCGCCCCCACCAAGGCCGGGGUGACGCAUGGCCAGCGAGGCUGAGCGCCCAGGGAAGGCGUGCUGACGUCACGACGCCCGGGUCAGGGCCUGGGCGCGGCUCGGAGCCGGGUCGUCGCUAUAGCAAUCGGGAACCGCUACCUGUCCAUUCCAAGGAUUCGGUCCAGCAGAAGCGUGAGGAGGUGGCGGAGGCCCCGAGGGCUUUGCGUCAUCACUUCUGCGGCCUGCGGGCGAGAAGGUGCGCUUCGGGAGUAGCGCGGGAGGACAGGAGGCGCAGGUUGUGAGGGACGCAGGCCCUGGGGCUUCGGUCUCUGUCCUCCGAGCUCAGAGCCUCCAGGCUUCUUCCCGGCCGCGCGCUCAGCACUCACUGUCUUACGGUCCCGAAGCGCUUUAAGGUGCGCAGUCCGCAGGCCUUGCCUACUGAUCUUCCAGCCACCCCUUGAAGGAAGCAGUUGCAGGUAUUAAGAGCUCCUUAUUGAAAAGGACGAUGUAGAGGGGCGGUGAGGGACUCGCCUCCGCAGGGAGGGCGCCCUGGCGGUCUUCUCAGGUUCUCUCUCAUUCCCGCGUCAGCUCCACCGUCAGGCUCGAAACCGACUACUCCCUUUUGUAGGCUUGCUUUGGGUUGAACAUAAAAACCAAGCCCCUUUACUAUUUCCCUGCUGGGAGGGGCUGCGAUUGGGAAAUUUUCAGAAACCUGAGGGAAAAUUAAAAGGGAGCGAGCUUUCGGUAAAAAAUCAAAUUAAAAAGGAGGGGCGUUAGAGAAGGAACUGGUAAAGAUUGCCUUUUAGGAGAGGAACUGGGUGGCUGGAAGAAUGAGGUGAGAAACUUUCCCCUCUCUAUCCUUUCAGACUUUAACUGGUUUCUUUUGUAUCUUCCCCGCCCCGAAAACAAUUUAACUUAAUAAGAAUAAUUUUUAAAGGACGUAAACUAGACACAGUUACAAAGUACGGGGUUUGGGGCUUGUGGUAGCUAAAGGUGUCUUUGGGGAUGCGGGCAUCCUUUUCCUCUCCUGCCUGAAGAGCUUAACUAGAAAGCCCCCCUUUCGGUCUUAGACAUCCCCUCUUCCUGACUUGUUCUGGCUGGGACCAGAGUUCAGUUUAGGUAGGCCAGUGAGUGACAUUUGAUGGUUAGAAUUCCUACGGUUAGAAUUAAUCCCUUCUGUAUCUCCUAGUAUGGAAAUAAACUGCCUGGCCACUAUGCUGCCCUCUUUCCAUUCCUUUUUGGUGGAAGUUUGACAAGUUAUUUCCCAUAGAAAAUAACUUAUAGGCCGGGCGCCGUGGCUUAAACGCCUGUAAUCCCAGCACUUUGGGAGGCUGAGGCGGGCGGAUCACGAGGUCAGGAGUUCGAGACCAGCCUGGUCAACAUAGUGAAACCCCCCCUCUCUACUAAAAAUACAAAAAAAUUAGCUGGGCGUGGUGGCGGGCGCCUGUAAUCCCAGCUACUCCGGAGGUUGAGGCAGGAGAAUUGCUUGAACCCGGGAGGCGGAGGUUGCAGUGAGCCAAGAUCGCACCAUUGCAGUCCAGCGCGGGCAACAGUGUGACUCCGUCUCAAAAAAAGAAAAAAAAAAAGAAAAAGAAAAAGUACCUUAUAGAUACAGAGAGAAGAUUAAGUAGCUCCUCUUAUAAUAUGAAUUGAGGGUUAGAAAUACCGCAGGGAAUAGAACUCAGGCUGUACCUGAGUUUGUCCCUCUCCAACCACCCUUUUUCCAUAGCUCUCUCUGUAUAUAUAUAUCUGUCUUUUCUCACAUUCCUUACGGAUCGUAAUCUGAUGGCCAGUCACCUCUGCAAUUAUACAUUUAACAAGAGCUCUGGGAAACAGUGUCUGAAUCUGAAGUAAUGAUCCUAAUGGAAGGUAAUUUCAGGUUCUCAGGAGAAUUGGUGAGGAUAUUUUGGAGGGCAGUAUUGAAGACCAUUGCUAGCAGUUUCUCUCCUAUCCCUUCCACUCAACAUAUAGGCUGGUGAUCUUCAGACAUUUUUUAGAAUGAACCCAUAAAAGAAUUUUGAAGAGCUAUGUACCUCUUGUUCAUUUUUAAGUUGAUACCUAAAUUUUCCUUCAUUAAUUUAAAUACUUAUAGAGGAUACAAUUUCAAAUUUUGACAUCUUAAACUAAGACUUACAUCAUUCUUUUUUUCUGAGACGGAGUCUCGCUCUGUCAACCAGGCUGGAGUGCUGCAGUGGCGAAAUCUCAGCUCACUGCAACUUCCCCUUCCAGGUUCAAGCAAUUCUCCUGCCUCAGCCUCCCGAGUAGCUGGGACUACAGGUAUGCGCCACCAUGCCUGGCUAAUUUUUAGUAGAAACGGGGUUUCAUGGUGUUAGCCAGGAUGGUCUCGAUCUCCUGACCUCGUGAUCCGCCCGCCUUGGCCUCCCAAAGUGCUGAGAUUACAGGCAUGAGCCACCACACUUGGUCUACAUCAUUCUUAAUGUAUCUGGCAGGGCAGGCACAGUGGCUCAUGCUUGUAAUCCCAGCACUUUGGGAGGCUGAGACAGGCGGAUCCCGAGGCCAGGAGUUCGAGACCAGCCUGGCCAAGAUGGUGAAACCCUGUCUCUACUAAAAAUACAAAAAUUAGCCGGGCAUGGUGGUGCGUACCUGUAGUCCUAGCUACUCGGGAGGCUGAGGCAGGAGAAUCACUUGAACUCGGGAGGCGGAGGUUGCAGUGAGCUGAGAUCGUGCCACUGCACUCUAGCCUGGGCUACAGAGUGAGACUGUCUCACAUUAAAAAAAAGUAUCCGGUGGAUUCCAAGUACCCUAAAAAUCUAAUGCCUACCAUCAUCCACUUAAAAAUAUAUGAACAAGCUCUUCAACAGAAAUUUUAUAUGGUUCUCUUUCUCCUUAUACUUUGAAUUCCAUUCACUUCCUGUAAUCAUUAGUAUAUAACUUACUAAACUUUUUUUUUUUACUAAAUAUUACUAAAUACUAAAUUUUCCUAAAUAUUUUUAACAUUUUUAUGACUUGUGAAACCUAAAAAGUACAAUUUUUAUUGAAAAUGCAUCUGUUAAUGAGAAAUAUGGUGUUUCUCCCCAAUUAGUUCAGGUAUUCAUGGAUUAAUAUUACCUAAUGGUAGAAGGAGAUAAGGUGCAACAUCAAUCCUUUACCUGUUUUUUAUUUUUAUAGACAUGAGUAUUGAGAAACCUUGUUUCCACAAUUGGGAAAGGAAGAGAUUUGUUACAAUGAUAUUCUUUGAGUCUUUGAACUUCUAAAUUAUAUGCCAACAAUCACAGAGUGAUCUAUUAAUACUAUCAAAUAGAGUCUUCUUUUAAUUUUGUUAAAAGCAAAGGAUUAGAAACCACUGAACUUCCAAAAGGAUUUAGUUAUUAGAGUCUCAGUUUUGGUUUUAUUAAACAUGAUUAUUAAUUAUCUGUGACCUUUACACUCAGAGACACUUUGUUAAUCAGAUAUUGAUUUCCAUACUUCUUUGCCUACACAAUAUUUUUUGGUAAAAUUCUUUAAUUAUUACAUGUCUUCAAGAACUUUUUGUUAAACUGAAAUGCAGAUUCAGCUCAUUCACUGUAUAGAAAACAACUGCCAUUUGUGGAAUUGGCAAAGCCAGUUUUCAUUUCAAACCAAUCAGCCAAAUCAGACCUACUUUCUGUUAGAAACAUGUCUGACUUUAUUCUUCCAUUCAAAUAAAUAUGUUAACAUUCAUUUUGAGGAAUAUUAUAAAAAUUAUUAGGAAAUAAAUGAUUAACUAUAGCUUAUAAAAUGGACCACUGAUAAACCAGUCAAGAUUAAAAUUAUUUAGACCUACUAUUAACAUAAUAAAUGGUAAAAAUAAGAUAGUACUGUUUUUCAUUAUAUAAUUAGGAAUAAUGCUGUAUAAUGUAUAGUUAAAUCCAUCAGUUUUGAGAAGUCAUAUAGAAGGCAUAUAUUCCCUUGGUAAAUGUGUGUGCCUGCUUUCAUCAAACUCUUGUUGUUCAGCUUUUGGGAACAAUUAAAUGAGAAUCAUGUCUAAAAAUCAGAAAUAACUAAUAAUCUUGUUACACAAAUUUUUUUCUUCUGUAUUUUUUAGAAAGGAAAGCUGUAUUUGCUAAGAAAUAAUGAAUUGAGCAGCUAGCAAUUUCACUUUUUACUAGGAGGUAGAAAAUAAUAAACAUUUUAUAUAAGAUAAAAUAGGAAGACUGAUUGCAAUGGGAAUAUUUUGAUAUGAAGUGGAAAAUAAUUGCUCCCUCCAAGCUCCUCAGGUUUUUACACCCUGGACCAUGCAUCAAGAUUCAGUGUAGGGGAGAGACAUUCCUUUCUUUUGUAAAGUAGGACAAGGACUAUGGUGAAAGUGGGGGCAGUGGUAGAGUGGAGAAUGUGCAUGAAUAUGUCAGCUGGCUCCCAAAUGGAUUGGUUUUUAGAAUUUUUUUUUUUUUUUUUUUUUGAGACGGAGCCUCGCUCUGUCACCCAGGCUGGAGUGCAAUGGCAUGAUCUCAGCUCACUGUAACCUCUGCCUCCCGGGUUCAAGCGAUUCUCCUGCCUCAGCCUCCUGAGUAGCUGGGAUUAUAGGCGCGUGCCACCACGCCCGGCUAAUUUUUGUAUUUUUAGUAGAGAUGGGGUUUCACCUUGUUGGUCAUGCUGGUCUCAAACUCCUGACCUUGUGAUCUGCCUGUCUUGGCCUCCCAAAGUGCGGGGAUUACAAGCAUGAGCCACUGUGCCUGGCCGUUUUUUUUGUUUUUGUUUUUGUUUUUUGAGAUGAAGUUUUGCUCCUGUUGCCCAGGCUGGAGUGCAGUGGCACGACCUCGGCUCACUGCCACCUCCGCCUCCUGGGUUCAAGCGAUUCUCAUGCCUCAGCCUGCCAAGUAGCUGGGAUUACAGGUGCCUGCCACCACGCCCGGCUGUUUGUUUUUUUUUUUUUCUGAGAUGGAGUCUUGCUCUGUUACCCAGGCUGGAGUGCAGUGGCCCAAUUCAGCUCCCUGCAACCUCCCCUUCCUGGGUUCAAGAGAUUCUCCUGCCUCAGCCUCCCAGGUAGCUAUAAUUACAGGUGUGCACUGCCACACCCGGUUAAUUUUUGUAUUUUUAGUAGAAAUGGGGUUUCACUAUGUUGGCCAGGCUGGUCUCAAACUCUUACCUCAGGCGAUCCGCCCGCUACAGCCUCCCAAAGUGCUGGGAUUACAGGUGUGAGCCAGUGCACCCGGCCUGGUUUUAGAAAAUAUUUUAUAGGGAAGUUGAGGAUCUGGAAAUUUAUUCCUUUAAAACUCUCCUCAGACUGAUUUGAGGCUAUUUCCUGGGUAUUCCUUGCAGUCUUACGUACCCUAGGAAAAAUCUUCAUUUACCCCACUUGGAAGACUUCUUAAUAUAGGCAUAUCCAAACUCCAAUGUCCCUGACUAUCCAUUAUUUUGAGACACCAAAGCAAAUGUCCUACGAAGUAAGGAGGAAGACGUGUUGUUCUUAGAAUAGAAGUGAGUUAUGAGAGAAGUCAAAGAGGAUGGCUCCAAGUUGGUAUAGUGUGAAGGUCAUGGAUAUGGUCCUUGGCUUUGCAGUUCUAGAAGUGUGAUUUUGGGUCAGUCCACACAAAGGUGUUCAUGUUUUGUCACAUUAAAUCAAACUCAUAGGAAGUUAAUGUACAUAAUAGAAUGCCAGUGCAUUCUUUUAUACUUACAGCCACCAAGUGAACUGGAUUAUCGCUCCUGUUGGGUAAAUCUUAUCUGGGAAGAUCAAUUAUAAUCAGAAAGUUACAUGAGGAGUGUGGAUCUUGAGCAUGGCUAUUGUCAAUAAGCUGAUGAGCAGGUGCUCACUACCUGGCAUAUAAUAGGAUCUCAGUAAUUAUGGAAUGAAUGUACUUCAUCUGUAUCUUCAUUAUAGAUGCUAAAGGGUAAGUUUAAGAUUCUGAUAGGCCACCCCACAUGUUUUUUGAUCAGGUAGAUUUUUCCUUGUUGCUCAAGUUAUACUCUUAAAUGGCUAUAUCAUGUAGAUAUUAAAUCCAAUAAAAUUUCAUGAAAGGGAAUUAUAUAAUUGCAACAGCAAAGUUUUAUCUAUAUCUCUGAGCCUAGAAAUUGGGACUGUUCAUUUAUAAUAGAGAUUGGAGAUUGCUUUCUCCUGCCCUGUAGGAGUAGUGAUGGUGGUAGUGACUAAAUGAUCUGUAUUUCACAAUACUAUUUGGUGGCUAAGAGUGUACUGCAUACAAAGAAUGACACUGGGUGACCCUCAGUGCUGGCGCUUUCCUAGAGGUGGGACAUCCUGAGUAGGGAGGUGCUGAACCACCUGUGGGCUGGCCAGCUGUUGUGGACUGUACUGUGGAGAGGAGGAACAAUAAAUUUCCCCCACUCCUUAGAUCCCCCUCAGGAGAUAAUACUUGAUGCUGCUUUUAAGGACAGAGAAAAGACAAGCCUUUUCAAAUUUUAAAAUCAUUAGGGAUGAGUUGCCAAAAAAUUUGGGUUAAGUUUUAUCUGGAAGCCAGAAGACAUUGUCUCCUCAAGGCUUUUUCUGGCUCUGGGAUAAGCUAUUGAGAUAGAGGAAAAGAUGCCGGGCUGAGGAGUUUCAUUUAGUAUUUUAAUAAUAAUAAAAAAGACAUACAAAAUCCAAACAUUUCUUUUUACAAUUCAGAUACAUAUUUUUCCCCAAGUGCAAAAUACUCUAUGAACUGCAUCAUUUGCUGUUUAUUGUCGAUUGUAUAGGAGAUGCUUACUAAAUUGGCAGCAGUGGAAGGCAGAUAUAAAUACAAUAUUUUGAAAUUUCUUCUGCAUUUAACAAAAAGCCUCCCACAUGGCGAUGAUUAUUCUGAAACUUGAGUUCAGCUCACACAGAAGUAUAAAGUUUUCAGUUUGUUCAAACUGCUACAACCUGUGGUGUCUAAAAAAGCUGAUGACAACUGGGGGUUCUAUUCCUUCUAAUCAUAUAUUUCCUUGUACAAAUAAUGGCACAAGGAUAGGGUGUGCUACUUUUGAGACGGGUCAAAUGUAAAAAUAUCCUUGUGUUGUUCGCUCCCACUUUUAUUGUGCUUAAGAAAGAAACCUGGAGGGUUAACAUUUUCUGCUUAUGCUCAGUUAUACUUUGUCUUGGUACCCCUUGUUUGUGGCUGUAAUAUUGAGGUUAAGCAGCAAAUACAAAAGUUCGAGUGCUCUAUAACGUUUUCUGACAUUUUGAGAUAUGACCUCAUAAUCCAUUCCAGAGUCACCUCAAACAUGUAUAUAGAGAACACUUCUCAUAUAAAAAGUUUCUCUAGGGCCAAAGACCAGGACUGUGUUACUGAACUUUCAGCAACAAAUCUGAGUCUCCACCACCUCAAACUGACCAAAUCUUGGGGGCUGUUAAAGCAGUCACAGCUCAGUGCCAGCCUUUGGGGAUUUCUAGGCCUGGAGCAGGCAGCUCAGAUCCAGGAUCUGGUCAGUUUUCUUCUGACUCCAAGAGUUGUCUCAGGUUGUAGGAAUAGGCAUGGCCUGAUAAUAUAGAAAGAGGGAGGCAGAGAAGUAAAGAGGAACUGCCAUGUUGCUGAGGAUAUAAGUGCCUUUCUGGUGUGCAUUACUUGGUGCGUGAAGCCCUCCCAUUUCCAGGCUCAGAGCAGGUGAGGUUUUGUACUAAGAUGAAUGGAAGCCCCACAAUACUGUCGCCCCACACCCUACACGCUGCAGAGAGGCCUCUGGGUUGCUUCAUGAAGGGAUCCUAUUUAUACCAUCUUUCCAUUUCCCUCCAAUGGUAAAAACCUCUCUUCUGUCUGACCUGUAAAGACCUAGAAUGUCCCUGAGCGUUGACUCCUCAUUCAAUCCAGUUAACCCCUAGUUUGAUGUCCCAGGGCCAGCCUCCUCCAUAGAUUCAGCAGCAGCUUUGCCUGGGUUCUUAACCCUCCAACUUGGAGGACCUAAAUUAAACUUGGUGGACAAUAGCAGGUUUUUACCUGCUCACCAAGAUCUGCCUUGACAUCAAUUAAGAAGCCUAGUGGUCUAUGCCUUCCGUACUGUGGAACUCAUUUGCAGGUCUCAUAAGCCAUGGAAUAAAUGGUUGAAGGAUGUGUAUUUGUAUGUAUGUAUGCAUGGUGUGACAGGAAAGGAAGGGAGAAAGGAGAAGCCAGACCCUGAAGGCAUAAAUUAAGAAGCAUGGUCACCGUUUGGCUUUCCAAGAGACGCAAAACGGCUGGCAGAGAGGAAUCAGAAAGUUAUCCUAGGCUGGGCGCGGUGGCUCAUGCCUGUAAUCCCAGCACUUUGGGAGACUGAGGCGGGUGGAUCACCUGAGGUCAAGAGUUCAAGACCAGCCCGGGCAACAUGGUGAAACCCCAUCUCUACUAAAAAUACAAAAAUUAGCUGGGCGCGGUGGCGCAUGCCUGUAAUCCCAGCUACUUGGGAGGCCGAGGCAGAAUUGCUUGAGCCUGGGAGGCGGAGGUUGCAGUAGGCCGAGAUAGCACCAUUACACUCCAGCCUGGGUGACAGAGCGAGACUCCAUCUCAAAAAAAAAAAAAAAAAAAAAGAAAGAAAGAAAGAAAGUUAUCCUAGCUUCUGGUGGAGAAUUAGGAUAGUCAGAGUUGAUUAAAGCAGUUUUCAUGGUGCUUCCUGGGAAGUACAGAGACACUCAUACUAAAUGACCAUUUCCCUUGUUUGGAAGCAGCCAUUUUGCAUCUUUACAGUGGCCCUCCUUGACCCAGAAAGACAAAGGUAGCCAGACACUCUACCCACAAGGACCAUGAUGUUGGCUAAUGGUUGUCAGGGAAUCUAGCUGUGUCAUUGGCUACCUACUGCUAUGGCCGUUUUGGCUGAUGAAUGCUACUGAUGGGAGGGCAGGGAGUCAGACUCCUUUAUUUAGUGUUGAGUCUCCUGGGGGAGCAGUAGCCUAGGACAGUCACCUAGAAAUGAACCUGAGCUGUUCUGUGAGUUACCAGGAGAGUUAAAAAGAAAAAAAAAAAAAAAAGAAAUGAACCUGAGGACUCAGUUGGUAGCCUUUGAUUGAUUGGGACUACAGCUUUGGGGGAACUAGAGUGAGAAAACAGAAAAUAAUUUUAUAGGCAACACUUGGAUUAAGGGCAGAAUGUGUGCAGGCUUUGGGCUUGGGCAUGGACUUGAUUCUUCUUCCAUUUGAUUCUUUCUUCCUUCUGAAAAACAGUAGUUGAGGAAGCUAAGCUUGAAGUCAACUUCAAAGGGAAGUGACCAGAGCCAGGCAAAUAUCUGAUGCCUUCUGUCUUAUUCUUGGCUCCCACAGCUUUGUCUCUGGCCUCGGGACCCUGAGUCAGCCCAUCCCCAGGUGGUAUGUCCUGGUCCUCUUCCAUGUGUACACCAGGGGAUAACAGGAUGAAGACAGGGAAAAGAUGGAGGUUUUCCCUACUUGGGGUAGAGAAUCACUGACCAGUUCCAUUGGCCUCUAUAAUCAUGAGGUCCACACUGACUCCAUGGAGAGGCAUAGGGAUAGCAAGAUUGGUUUAGCAAACAUAGGUCUCUCUCCUUUCUGCUCCAUCAAAUCCCCAGAAUUACUUUCCUACACAUCAGAUGCCUCUGCGCAAUUACCCUGGAUUACCACAGCCAAGGGCUCUAGGUGGCCAGUGGUGGCAUAGAGACAGAUCAGAUGCUCCAGCACUCAAGGUUCAUGAGAUUCAAAACCGAUUUUCUUCCACUCCAAACAUACACUCUUUUCUCUUGGGCAGCUAUAAAUAGGGUUUUGCUAAUAGAGGAAGAAGAAACAAAAACAAAAAACAAACCCAGAAAACAAAAACCCCUCCGUCUAGACAACAUAGAAAGACUCAAAAUGAUUGCACUUAUUAGGUGUGGACAGGGUGGGCAGGAGGCUCGCCAAGUGCACACACAUUCCUUUUGCUGCCCACAGCCUGAGGCCAGAGGUAGGUGGCUCCAGGCUGGCUUCAGAGUGGGGUCCUCUUUGGUGAAGCCCACAAGCCAGCUGGGGCUACAAGGGAAAAACAACUGUAGGGCAAGGCCUAGGCUGGCUUCAGGUCAAUAACCAUGUUUAAGGACAACAUGUAGCAAGGGGAGUAGGGCUCCCCCAGGGAGCAUCACAUGGGGCUGAGGAGGUGGCUGGGCCAGGGAAGACAAGAAAAGGGAUUAGUGUUUGAAGUUGACUUCCAAUUGUUCUGUGUCUAGUCCUUUAGAUGAUACAUUUUUUCUUUCUGUUUUCUUUUUUUUGGCAAUGCUUUAAAACCUUGUUUCUGUCCUGCAGAGUUACAGUCUUUCUCUCAGGGAGCUACAGCGGGGCAUUCACCAUGACAAUGCCUGCUGCUCUUCCUCAUUUAGCCGGUGUCCACUAACUCAGUGUUGUGGGCCAUUUGUAAACCCUUAUGGAGUAGACCCCAGGCAGACGUAGGGAAAGAAAGAGAGGAUCUGUAUAGACAAGAAAGCUGGCCAUGUGGGAAGUCCAGAGCUCAAACCAUGUGCCCCAGAGGACUGGUGCUGGCAUUAAGCCUGUAAAUCAAAGGCUUCUUUGGCAGGACCCUGGGCUGUUAGAAUCACCCUAGGGAGCAGAGCCAGGGGACAUUUUGGCCCCUGACUAGCAAGGCACAACCCUAUAAUGGCAGAAGCCCUUCUUUCCCCUCCCCGUUUCCCACCAGACCCACUUCCUUGAUGGGCCUCUAGCACCCUUCCAAGCUGAUGGGGUCGGGAAUGUGAGCUGGUAAAAUGGGCAGUGGAAGGGGCUGUACUGUUUCUUUACAUCUCACGGGGACUAGAGCCAGUACUGAAUGGCUUUUCUAGGUAGUGUGUUAGAAAAGGGGGAACAGUAGAGAGGCAGGCAGAGAGAGACAAGGAAAGGAAACUAGAAAGACAGAAAGGGAGAGUGCCUGGUUUGUGUAGUGAUAUUUUUUUUUUCCCUCCAAAAAGAGAGGAGAGAGUUCCUUGUCUGAGGGUAGGGGGCUGCCGGCUCUGAGGGCUAAGGAGUCUGGGGGCUUAAAAAAUUGGGUCUCUGAGCCUAGGGUUACUAUUUGUAGGGCCUCAGGAAGCUGGAAACUUUGGAGCGGAGCAGCUUGAUGAAGGAUUUUGGCAGCAUCUCCUUGUGUUUCUCUGUGUACUUGAAGUAGUUCUGGGGGUGGGCUAGCACCUCAAAGAAGGCCUUGAUGAGCUUCUUGUCCUGCAAAGGAUGGCAGGGAGCAAUGUCAGCCUCACCGUCGGGGGUGGGAAAGAGAAACACCAUGACUCAGCAGCCCUUCUUGAUGUCUACUAGGCAUCCUAUACUGAAUAUAUCCAGAGGGCAACUCUGGAUUCCCAUUCCCACCAUCUGCCCUUAUUCUGGAAUUCCACAACUGAAUCAGUGGCAGCUCCAUCCUUCUGUUGCUUAGGCCCCAAUCCUUGGAGCCAUCCUUGAAUCCUCUUUCUUGCUUACAAGUAUAGCAAAUCCUAUUGACUCUACCUUCAAAAUAUGUCUGGGUCUGACCACUUAUCAUCUUCCCAAGCCACCACUGUCUCUGACUUGGAGUACUGUAGUAGCCUCCUAACUGGUCUCCAUGCUACCUUUGUCCCUCCGUAGACUCUUCUCCCCACAGCAGCCAGAGUGACUUUUUGUGUUUUUAAUUAGUUCAUCUUUUUCCUGUUUGAAACUCUUCUCUGGUUUCUUUUAUCACUCAUUGGCAGAAUGUGAUCUGUAUCUUGCUUUCCACCUCCACUCUUGCUCCCUCUGCUGAGCCACACUGGCCUUCUGGAGGUUCCUGAACACACUAAAUUGCUCCCAUGCUCCUUAGCUUGGAAUGCUCCUCCCUCAUCUUCUAAUGGGGAGCCCUUUUACCUCAUUUGGGUCUCUUCUCCUUAGAGGCCUUUCCUGACCACCCUGUCUACAACAGUAGCAUGGUAUGUGGAGAGCCUACUAGGUGCCAGGCACUGUGCAUUAAAACUCAGGUCUUCUGGCUCCUAGGCUGGUGCUCCUUCCAUGGCGUCAGUGGAUUUUUCAAAUAAGAAGUAGGGGUUUCAGCCUCUUACCCCACUUUAAUCAGAACAGCUGCACUGCUUUAUGUGUUGGAAUUCCACAGUACAUUUGAUUUGAAAUAAGGGUUCAGAUGCUUUAAAAAUGUUUGAAAAGUAUUAUUAAAAGUAUAUUCUUUGAAGUCUGCAAGUUCUAGGUGAUUUUUGUUGUCAAGGCUUUUAUUUUGAUGAUAAUAUAAAAAUAUUUUGCUAACACUUAACUUUUUUGCAGUGAUAAUUUAUGAAGGAUAAUUCUAUGACUACGACUAUAGUUUCCUUUUUUUUUUUUUUUUGAGACUGAGUCUAACUCUUGUUGCCCAGGCUGGAGUGCAAUGGCAUGAUAUCAGCUCACUGCAACCUCUGCCUCCCCGGUCCAAGCAAUUCUCCUGCCUCAGGGUCCCGAGUAGCUGGGAUUGCAGGCGCCCGCCACCACACCCAGCUAAUUUUUUGUAUUUUUUUAGUAAAGACGGGGUUUCACUAUGUUGGCCAGGCUGGUCUGGAACUCCUGACCUCAGGCGAUCCACCCGCCUCAGCCCCCCAAAGUGCUGGGAUUACAGGCAUGAUCCACCAUGCGCAGCCAGACUAUAGUUUCUUAAGGAAGAUUUUCUUAAAUUGGGAUUCACCGACCCAGGGCAUCUAGUCCAUUCUUCCAUGUUGGAAGUAUUUAUUUUCCUUGAAAAGAAGUCUGUACAUAAAUUGAUUCUGAGAAAGCUGUGCUAGAUCUGCCGCUGCUUUUUUUGUUUUUGUUUUUUUGAGACAGGGUUCACUCUUGUCACCCAGGCUGGAGUGCGAUGGCGCCAUCUCGGCUCACUGCAACCUGCGCCUCCUGAGUUCAAGCAAUUCUCCUGCCUCAGCCUCCUGAGUAGCUGGGAUUACAGGCGCCUGCCACCGCACCCGGAUAAUUUUGUAUUUUUACAAAAUUAAGACGAGGUUUCACCAUGUUGGCCAGGCUGGUCUCAAACUCCUGACCUCAUGUGAUCCACCCGCCUCGGCCUCCCAAAGUGCUGGGAUGACAGGCGUGAACCACCACACGCAGCCUAUCUGCUGCUGCUUAAUGAGGCCUGGGGAGAGAAUAGGGGAAGGAAGGGACUUAUGCAAAAGUAUCUUUCUAUACUUCACUUUCCCUAUGUCUCUUGGAAGAGGUAGGGACAUUUCUUCUCCUCACUUUCCCUUUCUCUUCCAAGUUUUCCCCAAGGUGUAAUAUAGUGUGGGUGACGCUGCAGUCGGAUAGGCUUGGGCUCAAAUCCCAGCUUCCCAUGGGGCAGGUUCUUUAACUCUCUAUACCCCAGUUUUCCCAUCUGUAAAGAAGCAAUGGAGAAAGCACCUACCUCAUAGAGCUAUUGUGUCUAUCAAGUGAGAAUAUUCAUGUAAGCACUUAGCCUAUUGCCUAUAUAUUGUUACAUGCUUAUUAAAUGUUAGCUAUCAUUAUUGUUAAUAUUCAUUCACCUUUAAAAUCUCCUGGUGGUUUUCAGAGGCAUAGAGCCGGCCAUCUCGCACAAUGUCUUCUACCAGCUGCUCAUAGUCCUCUGCAAAGUCAACCAAGGUGAGGGGCUCAGGGGCGGGAGCUCUUCCUGCUCUCCUGGUUCCCUCUCAAAACUGACAUACCUCCCCUUCUCACCCACCUCCUUGGCUUACCAUCAUAGGUAACAUAGGGAAUCUGGAAGCCACGGGCGCUGUUGGCCUCGCUUGUCUUGAAGUUGAUCCAGAGCUUCCUGGAACGGGCAGUGAAGGCAAUGGGACGCUCGUAGGUCUGGCAGGUCUCAUAAGUGGUAAUGGAGGAUGGGGAUGCUGGGAAGGCAAGCAGCAGGUCAGUAGAGCAGCAGGGCAGGCUACCCAAGCCCUCCUAGAACGUGGGCUGUACAGCUGGUGGUGGGGGUAUAGGGCAAGAGAAUCAUUCUGACAAAGGCUCCCCCUUCGCAUACACACACCCUACCCCACACCCUCUCCCAUUGCCCACUGGGCUCAUUCCACAAUUCCUCCUUGAUACCUGGGCACUCACAUAGUGUAAUAAAUAUGACAUUUAAAUGAAUGGAAUGGCAAAAAUGCUAGGAUAGGAAAGUGAUACAUGUAACGCCAUUGGAGUUCUAGCCCCACUGCUAGCUUUCUUAACUCUGUUUUCUACCAAACAUGUGUCAUUGCUGUUUUCCUUUGUUAGCUUCUCUCUUCCUAAAGGCCUCUCACUAUUUCACCCUCAUAGAUCCCUAACUUCACUGCCCCAUUUCUUCCUGUAUCAGUCUCUCUCUUUGUUCUCCGCCUUAACCAGAUUUGGACUGCCCUUCCCUGGCCCAGCUCUGCAAGCCACCCACAGUUCUUUCUCAUGACGAGGACGUCCCCACACUCAUCCUCAGAUGGCAGGAAGAUCUCUGGUACCACGAUAAGGAUCUUGCGCUUGGGUGGGGGGUUGAUGUUCCAGAUGCACUCCACACCAGCUGGGUAGUUGCCCGGGUAGUUGGGGGACUCAAUAUAGCCAGUGAACUCACCCAGCUCCCCACCACACUGACGAUCUGCAGCCAAACCCCAGUGGAUAAAACAAGACAGAGAAGGGAAGUCAGUGGGGAAGUGUGCUGGGGGAAUUGAAGAGUUCUGAAGUAGAGGUCAGACAUUUAUGGGAAGUCUGCGUUCUAGUUCAUCAUUAUUUUCCAAGCUCUGAGUCCAUCUUCCUUCCUGCCCUUUUAGUACCUUCUCUUCUCACUUCACCUGUCUCUGCUUCCUCAUUAACUGUCUCCAGGGAGAGGGUGUUACAGGGUCCAGCCUAGCAACUGGCCUUGAGAUUGAGUGAGUUGGGGAGAGGUGGAAGGUGGAGUUUUCCUGCUCCUCCACCCCCCAGCCCUGCUCCCUGUUGGUUUCACACCCCUCCUUUAGAUGUCCACUGCUCCCAGGCCUCUCUCCUCCCUUUUGCACAGCCUGGCUUGCCACGUACUCUUGCAUUGGGCCACACUGGUAGAGCCAUCAAAGUCUGUGCUUGUGUUUCCUGGACAGCGGCUGCAGAAGUUCUGACGGAAGUCGGGCUGAUAGGAGCCCAUGGCACAGCGAAUACAGCGGUGGAUGCUGGUGUUGUAGUAGUGCCCUGGGGAGCACUGGACUGUAGGCAAGGGAGAAGGGCAGGAAUCAAGAUGGUAGGCAGGUGGGAGUUACGGGGCAUGGGAUGGACAGGAUACAUUCAUCCUGGAGAAUCAGGAGAUCAGAUACAUCAAAGUUCUUUUCUAGGGUCUCAAUCUUUCCCAGUCAUGCCAGAAUUUAAGCCCACGGAAAAACAGAGUUUACAGAGUGGUUGGCUACAGUGCCAAUCCUUUUCUUUCAGACGCUGAGCACAGUGCCAAACCUAUAUAGAAACUCAUUUGGGAUAUGGAGGAGAAUAUGCCACCAGUUCUCCAAAGUGGAGGGGUAAGUGGGACUGUUAAUUAUUUCUCAGUUCCCAAGCUUGGGACUAGUGGAGGGGCAGGGUGGGUCCUGGAAGCAGGAUGGUAUGGUUGGUCAAGUAGCUGGGCCCAUUACUGGUUUGGAGAAAAUGGUGGGUCAGUGUCCCCUCUGGGAAAUUGGAGAGUUUUUUGGGAGUAGUUGGGGUUGGGGCAUCCCCCAGGGAGGUGAGUAGCUUACUCACCUUUGGUGUCACAGUCUUGGAAGGAAAUGGCCCCUUCAUGCUUGGUGGUGAGGCCCCCACCACAAGGGAAGCAUAGGGUCCGUCCUGCUUCAGGUUGGUAGGUGCCACGUGGGCAUGGCUGACAGGGCUUGAACCCAUCUACAGAGUGUUGGCCAGGUGGGCACUGACCUGCAAUGAAUCAAGGGCCCAACUCUGAUGGGGAUGGUCCUGAGUCAUCCCCAUGGGGUCACCCGAUCUCAGGGGACAAAGGUAUACAAACAGGAUGUUGACUAAGAGAGUGGCCUGGAGCCUGGGCCUGCCCUUUGGGAAAUCCCAUGCCCAUGGGCAUCCCAGUGCCCACCCUACCCCACUCUGUAUUGUUUGUUCCCCUGGCACCUGCACACGUGGUGACGUUGGUGGCUCCAAGAGGCCCGUGGGCAUCACUCCCAGGGCAAAGGUCGCAGGAGAGCUGCCCUUCUCUCUCCUGGAAGGUGCCCGCUGGGCAUGGCACACACUGCUCCGUCUGGCCGUGGUAAUACGUUCCCUGCGGGCAGCUGACUGAGGGAGAGUCGGCCGCGCUAGCCACCCACCCCCGCAUUUCCCACCACCCAGGCCUGGGACUCCCCUUCCCACUCCCCGCCACAACCCCCGAUUCAGGGAGAAUCUCUGUCAGGGAACAAACACAAUCCUACUUGGGGGGAUAGGAGGGUCAAAACCGUGUGCAGGAGGAUUGCUGGCCCCACCUGGCAUCCUUCUAGAUUUCAGCCUGGAACCAAGGAAGGGAGGACAGCGGGCAGGAGCAUCCUGGCUGCCUCAUAAUUUGAGAAAUGCAUCUGAGGCCACAAAGGGUCCUGCUCUGAGUCAGGCCCAAACUGGGUCUUUCCUACAUCCCUGCUCCCCAGUAAGCUCCCUUACCACACUUGGUCCCAGCACGGUGCUGCCCGGGCCUACAGGACUCCAUCGGCUCUGCUCGCUCCCCGGCUACCAGGCCCGGCUUGUGGGCCAGCUCAUAAUCAAGGCCUGCCAGGCGCAGCAGGAAGCGGUCCUGGUUGAUGGACUUUCUGAGCAUCUUCAGGGAUCCUUUCAGCCGCCGUUCCAUUCGCUGUCGGAGGCAGGGCAGCCCACAGCUGGCUGGUGGUGGAUGGCCGUGUGUAUCAGGGAGGAGAAAGAGUUGCUGUGAGCAGGAGGGCAGGGGAGCAAAGCUGGGAGCUAGGAGGGGCAUGGUAAGAGGGACUAGCUUUUAGGCUUGGCACCAGGCAGGGUCUGCCCCUAGUACAGGCUCCAUCCCUUCCUUUUGCUGCUGAGACCUGUGGUUUCCCCACCUCUGCCCUCCCCUUCCAGUCCUCUUCCCAACAGUGCCCCCAGUCCCACCUGUGGUUUCUUCGGCUCUGACCUCUGCCUCCAGUUCCAGGGUGAGCCUUGUGACCUCUUUGCCUGGAGGGGUCCGGGCCCGUCGGCCCUUGCCCUUCCGAGAGGAGUCACACUUAAGGUGGAUGAAGGUGACCUGGCAUUCAGAGCAGGGGGCACCACCUGGGAGAGAGGGCUUGUCAACCCCAGGGACAUCCCCUGGAAAGUUCUCACUCCCAGCCCAGACAGACCUCCCCAGAUCUCUAACUGUAACUAUCUCUCAAUCCUGUUUUAGUCUAGGGUCCUAAUUAGUUGGUGGAGGGGAAUAUUCUGGGACUUCCUUGGGUGCUAUGCCUACAGCUGCUUUUUCCUCUGCUCUGCCUAGAGUUCAGGGUUCUGGUGGGUUUUUGGAAGCAGAGGAGCUGAGGGGUAAGGAGGAUUUAGUGGCCAGACAGCCAACUGGAAUGGGGUCCCCAGUCCAAACCUGGCCCUGUGAUUCUGCCAGCCUCCUCUGUUUUGCCUUUGUUUCGCAGGUGCAAACGGCAUUUGGCAUCCUUGAUCUUGAAGGAGGCCCGUUGUUUAAUGGACAGCACUGCAGCCUCUAGAGGGAUGGUAGAAACUCAGCACAGUAUGGGAUGCCCAUGGAGGUCGGGGGUGCCGUAGGGGUUGUUGAGAAGCUGGGUAAUAAGCCAGGGGCUUGGCUGGGGGAGUGAGAUUAUGAAAGUCAAGGGGAUCAGAUGUUAGGGCAGAGGGAGUGAGGGAGCAGGGUUGGAGAAUUACAGGGCAAAAAAGAGGAUCCAGGAGAAAGGAAGGCCAGGGGAUUGAUGAAGAACAAAAAUAAGGGAUUAAUGUAAGAGAGUAGGGUGGGAACAGGGCUUCUGGGCUGGUGCUUACCAUGGCAGUGGUUGGAGUUGGUGCUGUUCCCAUUGUGGCCAGCUCGGGCUGGAGCAGCCCUGGGGCUGGGGGUCCCACAGCUCACCGUGAAGCCAUUCUCAGACUCUGAGAAAAGGAGCCUGUCACAGUUCUGACCUGCCUUCCCAACCCCCGCUGGCUGGAGGAAUCCAGGGGGAAUGAAGGAGCUGCCUGAACGGCCAGUCCUUCCUCUUUUCUCCUCCAAAGCUCUCCAGCACCCUCCUCCCAUGUACCUGGCAAAAAUCGGGCCCUGGAGGGACAGGUCAGGGCACAGGUGUCCUUCUUGCCAGACCGGUUGCAGCUGAGCAUGGCUUUCGAGGCCCCAGGACUGCCCUGACACUUCAGUGGCUCUAGGAAGGGGAGAGAGGCCUGAGCAAAUGAAUGCAUUCCUUUCCCUCAGUUGGGUAAUUUGGAGGAAUCAGCUACUUGCAUAACUAUUGUUGUACCCAUGGAGACUGAUGAUGGGAUUGUUUACUACAAAUUUCAUGUCUUUAACUCAAAAUGGCUACAUUCUCCACCCUUUCCACCUCACACCUUUCCCCAAUGUGAUACUCUAUGCUUUCCAGAACCCCAACUGCUCCCUGAAAUGGCAGUGUCAUCUUUGGCCAGCAGAGGGCACUGCCCACCUGUGCAAUCUUUGCCAUUCCAGUGCAGCCGACCCUGGCCUGCUGGGCAGGUACACUGGUAGCUGCCAGGAGUGUUGAUGCAGCCAAAGCGGCAACCUCCCCGGUUGAUGCUGCAUUCAUCCACAUCUGGGGGAAGGAGUAGGGAGACAGAAAAACAACGAUGGAGUUGGAGGAGGAGCCGGAGAGUAGGCAGUGAGUGAGGGCCUUUGGUUAGAGUUUCAGGUACCCUGCAUUACGCAAGAUGAAUAAGUUCGAGAGAUCUACUGUACAACAGUGUGCCUAUAGGCACAUAAAUACUGUAGUGUACACUUAAAAACUUAAGAGGGUAGAUCUCUUGUUAAAUAUUCUUACAAUUUAAAAAAGUUAAAAAGGCAUUCUAGGCACUGUAAGAUGACUACUGGCCUGAGAAGAGCUCAAACCUCCUCCAAUUAUCUCUGUCCCCAAAGGAAUGAUCGAGAAGGGGCCAAGCCAACAAGCUUUUUAAAGCCUUCCACUCCUCCCAACCAGUGAGACUGUCAUUUGGGAGCUGAGAGUGGGGGUUCAGGGACAGUUAUAGGAAUGGGAGAUAGGAAUUUUGGAGGCAGGAUGCUGUUUCCGCAGUCUCCCAGUUCUUCAAAAGCUGUCUUAAUUCCUCCUAUUUUGUCACAGCGGAUGCAGACAUGGUGCAUGCAUCCAGGGAUUGCCCAUAGCCACAAGCCAACACAAGGACCUGUUCAAUUGGAGGGUGAAGAGGUGAGGGGGCCAGGGUGGCUGGGGGUGCAAGCUUACUAGCUUACCCCCACAGUGGGUGAUACCAUACAACAGGUAGCCACGAUGGCAGAGACACUGGAAGCUUCCUGGUGUGUUGACACAUAUGUGGUCACAGGUUCGAUCAAAGGAACACUCGUCUAUAUCUGGAAGAGCAAAGAUUCAAGCCACUGAAUCUGUCUUGGAGCACUUGACCCUUGCUCAGGUGAAGGACCCAAGUGAGGGGCCUUGGCUUUCCCCCUUGAACUGAAGAGUUCCUAUUCAUGUCCUAGCUCUAGGACCAGUGAUUUAACAAUGCCAUUCCAUCUUCUCUGCCCCCUCUAUUUGAAGUCCUUGGAAUUAGGAACUGCAAGAUCUGGUGCCUUUAGGUCAGGGCCCACCAUGUGUGGUUAGGUACGUCCUACUCUGCCAAGGAUAUGAAUUGGGGUGAAAUCCAUCCCUCAGUCCUUGCCAGGCUGAAUGCUUUGAUAUGGAGCUAGUCCGCUGAGGGGAAAGAGUACCAUUUGCUAAUUUGCAGGAUGACACUGCCUCUAGAGACUCUGUGUGAUAUCUAUUGAGUUUCUAAGACUUUAGCCCUCUGGCCUCCUUGAAGCUCUCCCACAAGAACCUCUCCUAAGGCUUUCACCUUUGGCUGAGUCUGCUCACCCUGGCAGUUCCUCUCAUUGAUGAGAAGCUUAUAGCCUUUCUUGCAACUGCAUUCGAAGCUGCCCACUGUGUUGCGGCAAAUAUGGUCACAGCCCCCGUUGUUUAAGCGGCACUCAUCUAUAUCUGAAGAAGGAGGACAAAACAGGAUAAAAGAUACUAUCAAAGGCUGAGAACAAACAAGGAGAAAGAUCCCUCCCUCACUGACAGAGACAUGCAAAAAUCAAGGAGUCCUGGGCCUGCCUCUUCUUGAUCUCUCUCUGUCUCUUUCUCUUUCUCUUUCCUGUCUCUCUCUCUCUUUCCUGUCUCUGUUUCUUCCCUGUUCAGGGGAUCUGUGGCCAUUAGUAACACCCUCUCUUCUGGGAUUGAGUGUUCUUAUAAGGGGACAAAUUGGAACCAAAACUAGGAACAGGCCCUCAGGGAAUUACCUAGAGGAGGGGCAGGUGGGCAUUUGACCUAACAGGCUAGCCCUUAGUCUCCAGCUGAUGGCCAUUCCCUGAAAGGUUGGUGGGUAAGGGUUAUCUCUUUCCUGUCCCUCAGGACGGGGGGUUGGGGGGGUGCGGGGCAAGGAGAGGUGGAGGGUCUAAAGGGACUCACUGAAAACGGGCAGCCCUUUAGGGAGGAGGAGGAGCUGGGAAAGAGGCCAGGCAGGGAGGACCUCCAGGAGAGCCAGUGAGGCUGGGUAGCUGAUGGGGGAGGGCUGGGGGCCAGGCAAGGGGCUGGACUGGGAGAGAUCUGGAGAGACUCAGGCCUGAGGCAGCUUUCAGCACUAGUAAGGGAAAGGGGGGCUGGUGAAUGGCUUCCUUCCUGAGGUCAAGUUCCCCAAGCUGGUGGCAGACAGGACCCAGGCUACUCACCCCUGGUUGGGGGAAGGGGCAGGGAGGGCAGCCUUUCACUUCACUCUUAGCAUACCUGUCAACAGUUCUUCCCAGCAGGAAACCUCUCAACUCUGGCUGGCUGACCUGCUGCCCUAGCCUCCCCCCUCCUCUCGCAGCUGUUGGGCCAAAAGACACAAAGAACGAGCCCAGUCCUCCUCGUCCCCACUCCUUGUGACCAGGGGAUAUGGACCUAAUGAAUCAUCAUUUUCAGUAUGGCUACCCUGCCUUUUUCCUCCACCCUUUCCCCCCAUUCUCCCUCAGACCUGGCUAAUUAAAAGGAAGGGAAACAGAAUGCAUAAUGUGGGUAACUAUACUGUAAUAACAGUUAACACAAAGUGUUUCCAUUUGCCAAGCACUGUUCUAAGUACUUUUUAUGUAAUCACUCUUUUAAUCACAACACAGUAUGAGGCGAGCACUAUGGAAAACUGAGGCACAGAGACAUUAAGUGACUUGUCCAGGAUCACAGAGCUAGUAGGAGACAGGGCUGGGAUCUGAACCCAGCUUCAGUCCUCCUAACUAGUAUCCUACUCUCCCUUUGACCAGUACAGCCUUUCGAGGGGUAGACAUCAUUUCCCCAGAGCCCACUGGGAAGGUCUGAGGAAUGUGGGGUAAGAAGGUUAUGGAACACACCUGUGACCUCAUGCACACACACAGUCAGGGCUCAAAUAUCCUUCCAGACCCAGGAGCAAAUGUGAAUCGCAUGUCCAUUAACUAAGAGGGUUAGGGACCCAUGGGGGAUAGGAAUGAGAGUAGGGAAACAAGGUGGGGUAGGGGAAGGGGGCACUAAGGAACUGGCUGGACUUCUCUGUCCCUUGAACUGAGAUGAAACAGGCAGAUAGGAGACAACCCUUAGCUAUGUCCUGGGUUCUUCAUAAGAAGGAGGUUGAGGAGGUGUCAUCCCCUAAUAGGCACCCUAUCUCUGGUCCCAACCUCAGCCCCUUACCAAAGGUCACUCUGCUUCUGUCCUCUCAAAGUCCUUACCUUUGCACGUCUUCCUGUCUGGCUGCAGCAUGAAGCCCACAGGGCAGGUGCAGUGGACACCAGUCGCUGCAUCAUGGCACUUACUGUCACAGCCCCCGUUGUUGACAGCACAGGUCUCUGUUUAGGAGGGAAGUGGGGGAUGGUAAUGAGGUUACAAGCCUGGAGGAGUCCCAAACUCUGAGGGUAGUGGAGACCACAGAGGCCCGAGGGAAGGCCUCAGCUGCCUCUCUGUGCUUUAGAAGGAGCAUUAAGCCAAGGGAGGCUCCCAGCCCCUUUCCUCCCAUCACUCCCAACCCCCAUCCCCUCACAAGUACAGCCAAGCAGUCCACUUCCCUGCCCCCUACUUGAUUGAAACAAGGUGGACAGCAGUGAGGCAGGUACAAGCCAGAGCUGUCAGGCAGGAAUGUGCCGAGGGGGUGGAGGAGGUGGGGCGGGGGGCAGUAGGGAGGGAUGGGAGCUAAGUGAGGGUGGUUCUGGCUGCCAGGGAACCAGAAGGGACAGAUAGGAGUUUCUUCCUCUUUCCACUAUGUCUUUGGUGGGUGGGUGGGGAUUGUGGUGGGACAAUCUUAUUGUAAGUGGAUUGGAAAGAAUGAGCCGGGCCAUUCCUAAGGCAACUGAAGGAUACCCAUCAAUUUAUCUUCCCCUUCCCCGCUGCCUAGCUGUCUUAAGAAAGAUCCCACUUCCAGGAUCGACUGACUGCUCAUCCUCAGAGGAGGUAGCACAUACUGGGUUAAUCUACCUUCAACUCCUCCCAAACCCUCCUUUUAGUUCUAGAUGGAGAUAAGCUGGCUGUUUUGUUGUUUUACUCUGCUAAUGGGGAGAUGUUGUAUAGGAGAGGGGAGAAGCAAAAGAAAGAGAAGAAUCCAGAGGAGAAGGAAGGGUGUAAAAAGGUUAGUGAAAGAGUUAGAGAACCUCAGAGCUAGAUAAGACCUAAAUCCUUAUUUUAGCUAAGUCUCUUAUGCUGCUCCCUCUUAACUGGUAAGUUUUCCCUUUCACUAAAAGGUCAGAGUAGGAGGAGUGUCGAUGGGUCACUCUCCCUAUUUUCUGAAUUCACAGCAGGAGAAAAACAGGUUUAAAUGGUAGCUUGGGAAAGUCAGAUGUGUCCAAGGAAAAGCCAUUAGUUCAAACAGUGAAGGCCCCUGAUACAGAGACUGUGGAGGUGGUGCAUACUGUCCUCUUGGGGUGACUAGAAUUCUCCCAUUAGAGAGAAAGAAUCCCAAGACCUCCACUAGGGAAGAUAGAAGAAUGGUUCUCAGAAUCAAGGGAAUUGAAUAAGACCAGUACUGGAUGUACUGUCAUCUUCUUAAGUCUCUGACUCCCCACACUCAGGCCCAACUCUUGUCACCAAUGAGAACAGGAAGGCCAGGGCUCCAAAAGAAGCCUAACUCUAUGGGUCCCUGGCCAUGCCCUGGUCCCUCAAAUGCCCAUGUGUGGAACAGCCCAACCUGGAGUGGGAUAUCGUCUGUGCCAUUUCCACUUUAGUCUCUCCUGAGGCUCUCCAAGACCAUGGGAGGAACCUAGUAGGGAACAUUGAGUUCAGGUUCCAAGGCUAGCCACCCGCUAAAGAGUGCUUUUAGCAUAAGAAGAGGUCCACUAAGCCCAGGAGCAGGGGGAGGGGCACAGAGAUCUUAUGCCAAGGCCAGAUAGCUUCUGAAGGAUGUAGGAUACGGAAUAGCAGAGCUGGCACAAUGUCCAUCCCAGGCUGGACAGAAAGCUGGGCAUAGCCGCCCACCUGUGCAGGACGGCAUUCUUGAGAGCAGGGUGGGGCAGCAGGACCAUAUAGUCUCACCCCUUUGCUCUCUAGGUCACAAUAUUAAAACCACAAGUUACUCUGUGCUUAUGCUGUGCCAGGCACUUGCCAGGUAGAUGCUCUACAUGCACUAUCUCAAGCAUUACAACCCUAAGGAAGGACUGUUAUUUUAUAGAAAAGUAAACUGAGGAUCAGAGAGGAAAGUAGCUUGCCUAAGGUCAUACAGUUAGAAAGUAACAGAGCCAGGAUUCAAACUCAGGUCUGCCUGAACACACAUGCCAUGCUCUUAGCCAUUACGGUAGGAGAGAAUGGUGAGUGAUGCUGGGACUGUGAACUAAUGUGGGUAAGAACCCAAGAAAGAAGCCCCAAGGAGGGGAUGGCAUCUAAUCCUAUCGCACCCCUAUCUCAGGUGGCACAGUGGGCAUGACAGGGAAGAUGAGGCUGGCUGGGUAGAGGGGGGUGGGGAGCAGAUGGCUGGGAGUGGGGUGGGGUGUUAGAAGGUGGGUGUGGGAGGAGACAGCAGAAGAGGAAGGGCAGAAGGAGAGUGACAGGAACAAAGACGAGACCAACAUGAAAGCUCCCGGGCCAGCUCUUAGGGACUCAGGUUUCUUGUCACCCAAUGGGCCCAGUGCCCUGGCUGCCAGGAUAGCCCUGCUGGCAAGUUGGGGCCCAGUCAGGCUGGGCCCAGUGGGCAUGCAGUUAGUGGGAGCCCCAGCGGGUUAGCCCUUCCCCUAGCAAGCCAGUGAGAGCAAGCGGAGAGAGCAGACAUAUUUACCAUUAGAAACGGCUUGAGUGGGGAUGUGCUGCUCUAGCCGCCUUUCCCCUGUUUGACAUUGUAAAAAAGCUGUUUAGGUGCUGGGCAGAAGCCACUGUGGCCCUCUGGCCCCGGACCCCUCCCCACCCUCUCCUCCCCACUGCCAGCCCAAACCAGUAGCCCCAAAUGAUGAGCCCUGGGACCCUUAUGACAGCUUCACUCCUCAUCCUUAUCCUGUCUGGUGGUAUCCCCAAAGAUGCCAAGCUCCCCGCAAGUGACUGAAAAACUGAAACAGUCUCAGAAAGGGCAACCAACCAUGUGCCCAGUACCACAGAGCAUGCUCAAGCCUAAGCUGGGAUGCACCCUCAAGUCUUACUAACCACAAAAUCCCAAAUCCCAAAGGGUGCCGCCCUUUCUGCUAAACUAUACUGCCUUCUCAGUCUUCCCACCGAAUCUGAAUGUCCUGACGGCCCCAGGCAAUGAUGUUUCCUCUUACCAGGGAUGGCCAGAAAAAUUAGAUAUAUGGCAAGGUAAAAUAAGUUCUAUUGGAGAAGAGGAAGAGGAACUAGGAAAGAAUAUAGCUGUAAACCCCAGAAUAGCCUCAUUUGGUCUUUUCUGCCUCAUUUGGCCUUUUCUGCCUCAUUUGGCCACAGCCCAGUGGUGGAACAGGUCUUGAGUUAGAGAAGAGCCCAAGCUCAGUAAGGGUGUUUUCAGAAGCAACCAUGUCUGGAACUUUGAACAGAAAUAAAUCAGAGAGGGAUCAGACCUUCACAUCCCUGGCCCCUGACUCAUGCAUCUUUUCUUUGGGCACUGCAAACAAUUUCUUUUGAGAGACUGGGGAUGUGUGAAUGUGUCCAGGAGGUGGUGAGAGCUUUGAAAAGCAAAAUAAUUAGACCUAUGAGUAAAAAAUGAAAGGAGCUGAAACACACCAGCCCAAAGAAGGCAAUGAGAAGAGCCUAAAAAUGUUCUGGGGUCUUUGAAGAGUUAAUUCAGAGGGAAACGUGGCAGGGGAGAUUUUAAUUAUAUAGGGACUUUAGAAAUGGAUGUGCCAGUCUCUGGAGCAAGUGCCUGAGGGAGCCCUGUAAGAGCAUCAUCUGCUCUCCAGUUCCUAUUCCUGCAGUGAAAGGGACAGGUCCCUGGAAAGUCUAGUUCCUCAGUUAAUGUCAUGUCUCUGAUAUACAUAACUUCAUACACAGUGACUGGAUUCACACACCCCCAUCCUCAGCAUGCCACAGCCCACCAGAUGGACAGUCAUUCAUAAACACCUAUGCCCACACAGCAAGCUCAUGCCCUGCCUGGCUAAAGACACAGCCUCUCUCUCAGCCAAACCUCUUCCUUUCAUUUCCCCCUUCUCCAAGGGGAAACCUUGUUCCAUCAUCCUUCUCAGCACUAAAGACCUAAAGGCUAAAGGAAUUAGGAAUUAACUUUAAGGAAUUAAACUCAUCUAGGGUACCUGAAAAUAUGUGAGAUAAGGCCUAAGAAUUCAGGAAGAGGGAUCCAGGUAUUAAGAGGACCUCAAAUCAAGGUAAGAGAUGGAAGGCUGGAGUUGGUGAGGAAGAAACAGGGUUGCUGGUGGAGCUGAGAGGGAGUACCACUGGCAUCUGGAGGAGAGAGAAGGAAAUGGGGGGUAAGGUGAGGUGAGUAGAAAGGGGAGUUGCAGGAGGAGAGUGAGGAGAGAAGGAAUAAAGAGGAAAAAGAUACCUGGAGCCAGGAAACCCCAUCUGUCAGUCAGUUCAGGGAUGGUUGUUCCAGGAAGGAGCACUCUGUCCCACCCUCAGUUGCAGAGUGGGGACACUGGGCUUUGAUAAUUCCUCUGUUAUCACACUAGUCAACCAAGGGCCUCUGGUCAGGCCUAAGCAGAUGCAUUUCCCCAGAUCUCUUCCCACUUCUCAACUACAGCCUUGGUCAAUAAGCAACUCUGCUAAUUAUUCCCAGUUUGGCAACACUUUGUCCUGGGAUGAAGAGGGUGGUGAGGCUCCUGGAACAGGGUGGUAAAACCACUGGGAUGGGGAGGGGAAGAGGGCUGGGGAGCCCUUCAGUCUCUCUUUGAGUUGUCCCUUACUAGACCUGGCAUUUUCUGGGUCUUAACUCCCUCACCAGUCCCUCUGUGCCCAGCACCUGGGCCCCAUGCACUCCUCCACUUCCCUGGUUCCCAAAGGGUCCCACCCCCACCCCAUCUCAGGUGGACUGAGUUCUCCCCUGGCCUCACCCACCGAUGCAUGUCUUCCCGUCGGUAUGGAGCACAAACUUGAUAUGGCAGCCGCACCGGGGACCCUGCUCUGUGUCAUCACACGUGUGCUGGCAGCCGCCGUUACCAUAGUUGCAUGUCACUGUGCACAGAGAGGACAGGGCCCUGUCAGCUUGCUCCUCCCUGCAUCCACAGUUUUCCACAAUGUGGGUACUGGCCCCCUUGCCUAGUUGCCUCCCCCAUACUCCCUUUUCCUCCCAGCCCUGUCCUCUUGCUCCUGAAGCCCUAUACCCUUCCUCUAUGUUUUCACCCCCGACCCCACUGCCCCACCUGCCAUCCCAAUUAUCUCACAUUUACAGUCCCGUUGGUUCUUGGUAAGCUCAAAGCCAGGACGGCAUUCACAGGCAAUACCCCCCUUGGGUGUCUCCCGGCAAAUGUGGGCACAGCCGUGGUUCUUGUUCAUGCAAUUCAUUCCUUCUAAAAGAGAAGAAAGGGGUGUGAAUGCUCUGUACCCCUGGAUGUCUAGAAAAGAAAAACUACAGGGGGCAACUGGGGACCUAGGGAACUGGGAGAAUUCUACUGAGGUUGAAUUCAACACGAGGGGACUGACUCUCCUUGUCCCAGGCCUCCUGUCUUCCCCACAGACCUGGGUGCUCAUGAGCAGAGCACAGAGCUGUUCUGAAUGAUGUAUAACUAGCUAGCUAUUGAUACUCAUCCCAACGAAUGAUCACCCUUUCCUUUAAACAACCAAAACAUUGUGUAUAAUAGGUGUCCAGCACUGUGCUGGAGAUGGGGUGGAUUUAGGAAGGUCCUAGAAAAAUACAAGGUGUGAUCACUCCCCUCAAAGAGCUUACAGUCAAACUGGGAAGAAGAUCAGUAGCAAUCAGAUCUACAAUGAGAGUGGAGGGUAAUUGGUAUAGAUAUUUACUAUGCAAUUUUAUUCAACAAACAUUUAUUAAACUCUCACUACACGCAGGGCAGUAUGUUAGGUGCUGGGGAUACAACAAUGAGUUAGACAUAGUCCCUGCCCUCAGGGAUGUCACAGUCUAGUGGGAGUGGGGGGCAUGAGUCAUAGAAACAGCCAAUAUAAACCCAUUAUUCCUGCCUGACCCUCCCAUGCCAAUCCAAGGAAAAAGAUAUGGUGAGGCCCUCUCAGAUAGGCAGCAGCUUAGAGAAGCUCAGCCAUCUACAAUUAGGGACAACAUCCACCUCAGGUCUGGACACAGAGGAUACUCCAUAGUAGCCUUAAUCCCAUAUUGAUCCCAACCUCAAAGUAAUUUCCCCAGAUUUUGCCCUAACAGGGUGUCUGUUCCUAGAUCCUUUAGGGUGUGAUUGAGUUGAAGGACAAGAGAAGAAGGAGCUAGCUGAGUUGAGAAUGGAGGGUGAGACUUAGGGGCUGCUGAGGGACAGCUGGGAAGAGAAGCCUGGGGAGGGCAGGGAUGGGGCCAUCCCAGGUCAUGGGCUGACCUUCUGGCCGCUGGAUACAGGUAUGCUGGUUGUCGCUGAGGAAGAAGCCUUCCCGGCAGUGGCACUCAUAGCUGCCCAUCAUGUUGACACAGCUCUGCUGACAGCCGCCGUUGCCCUCGGCACACUCGUCCACAUCUGUGCAGGAUAGGUAGUCAGUGGGGUCAUGGGGUACAGGCAGGGUCCAGGGUAUAUCCCAAGACUUCAGCACCAAAGGCAGUCUUAAGAACUACUACCCCCUAAGCCCAGCCUUAAGCCAGGAAGUCCUCACACCCUUGUCAGCUAAUAUUUCACUAAGUGUAAAAAGGCUGCCCUGAGGGCAGAGCUGGGAAGCUAAGCAAGUGGGGGAAAAGGGGACCUUUGAACCUCAAAUGUCACCUAGGUGAAGCCAUGCCUCCCUUUCCCUCACCUGUGUAAACUGGGUAUGAAGACAGAGGACACCAGGAAAGAAGCCAGAGAAAGAGGAACAGUGAUGAAGGUAAGGAUGGAGAUUGGUCACAUUGGUCGGAUAGGUAACUGGGGGUUGCAGCUGGUUGCAAUGAGCAGCCAGGGAAUGUAGGAACCUGGGAAGUGGCUCUGGGUGCAGGCAGAGCUAUGGCCAUGGUGCUGAGGUUGGAGGGGCAGGGUGGGGAAAGGCAGCUGAGCCUCACCUCCUUGUGGAGCAGGGACCAUUUCUGUGGACAGGCCACAGCCCUGUCCUUCCUCCCCUCCCCCCUGUGCCUGGGCUUGCUGCCAUAUUCCCUAGCCUUUCUCCUAUUUUGGCUUAACAAAACAAAGUCUGACAACUUGGCGGGGAGGGAUCUGGGGAGAGCUGCCAGGCCACACCCUAGAUGGUGGGGGUGGGGGGCAGGGAGAACAGUAGGCUCUCACCCCCAAAUCACCACCCCUAGGUUCUAGAGCCAAGCUCACCCUGGAGCCCCCAAUUCAACACCUUGAUUCCAUCUCUAUGCUAGCUACUGCCCUCCCAAGUCCAUGGCCCUUCUCAGUUUGCCUUGGCCCAGGAGGCAUCACGUAGAUUGGUUGUCAAAUGGAGCAGCUAGAAUCUGGGCUCCUGAGGGCUUCAUCUGCCCCUCUCUUCCCAUCCUCUCUGCUGAGAUCCUGCAACCUUCUCUUCCCCUUCUGGCCAGGGCAGAGAGGCCCAGAUCCAGCUGGCUCUUGCCCAAGAGAUGCACCUGUUGGAAGAGCUAAGGUGUACUUUCCUGUGCUUUGCUCCUGUCUCUACCCUGUCUUUUGCUGUUCUCUUGACUUCUCCCCAUCCCUGUCUUCCUGCUCUUGCCACAUUCUACAUGCCAUCCUUCUGUCUGCUCCCUUACUAUCUAACCUUGUGGCUUUGCUACUCUAGCCAAGCUCUUUCCUCCAAUUCUCAGUGGGGAAGCUAAGGCCCAGAGCAUGGACAACUUUCUCAAAAUUCCCCUAAGAGCCAAAGGUAGUAUUGAGACUUUGAACCCUAACCCUAGGUAAUCUUUGUCCCUUGACCCUCUCUAUACCUAAUCAUUCUCUUGUCCCUCUGGUUGGUUCUCCCCAAAACACUUAUAGGGAAAUGAGAUGUGGUGACAAUCAGGGGCCUAGAAAAGUCAAAGGCAGCCAAAGAACUCAGAAGCUUAUGUGCAUGUCCUGUAGGCAACUCACUGUCCUGGUCUAAGUGCCACAGCUUCCCUUCCCAAAGGAGUUUCAUAAGAGGCCCUCAAGGGUGACUGGGCAGAUAUGAGGCCCUUCCCUGGAAGCUAAAAUGGUAGGAGAGGUGACCAGGGCUGGGAUUAAGGGCCCAGCAGAUAUCAGGGUUUGGAGGCCAGGGUUGGGUGUAGAAACCUAUAGCCUGGGUCCAAUGAUGGGUUAUGACUAGGUUUGGAGGCAGCUCUGCAGUAAGGAGGCUCUUCUCAGCCAAUAGGACUUAAGAGAAUUCAUCUAUUUGGUCAAUUGGUGGGUGAGGACCAGCCCAGCCUGCUUUUCUGGGCAUCAUUCCUUUUGUUUCUCUUCCUUUCCUGGUCCUUUAUGCUUCUAGUGCCUGUUUUCUGUUGUGGCUACAGGGUGAAGUAAUUUGGGAGAAGGCCCUGGGUUCAAAUUUCAAAUCCUUUUCUGCUAUGAGCUUCAGAUUUUCUGCUUGGGGAAGAGUCUGACUUGGUCCCAGUAAUUUUCCAAAAUGACAGAGACCAAAGUUGAGUUCAGUUCCUUAGAGAUUCUCUUAUCUCUGAUCCAGCUCCUGGGACAAAGGAGAUCAGUGAGGAGAGGGUGAGACUGGAGAUUGCAGGAAGAACUGGGAGAAAACAAGCCUGUAAGGGUCAGAGGCUUCCUGGGGCAUAGGGAUGCACUGUCGUCAUCAUCAAAAACAUUCUUCCCAUUACUGAGCUCCUACCAUGUGCUAAGGAUUGUACAGGGCUCUUUUCAUAUGUUGUCUUGUGGUGAUCCGCACAGCAGCCUUCAAGUGGGUUAUUACCACCCCAUUCUAUUUUAUUGUUAUUUUUUGAGAUAAGAUUGCUCGAUCUGGAGCGCAGUGACACAAUCACAGCUAACUGCAGCCUCGACUUCCUAGGCUCAAGCCAAGGAAGAGCUCCCAAGUAGCUGGGGACUACAGGUAUGCACCAUCAUGACUGACUAAUUUUUAUUAUUAUUAUUUUUUGUAGAAACAGGGUCUCACUAUGUUGCCCAGGCCUGUCUUGAACUCCUGGGCUCUAGCAGUCCCUCUGCCUCGGCCUCCCAAAGUGCUGGGAUUACAGGUGUGAGCUACCACACCUGGUCCCACCCCCAUUUUAGAGAGGAGAAAGAUGAGAUUUCCAGAGAUUGGCUGAUUUGCCCAAGACCCAAGGCUAGUAAGCAGCAGAACCAAGAUAUCUGUGUGGAGCCAAAUCAGCUUCCUACCAUGCCUCACCACUGGCUAAACCCACUAUUCCCAUCUCCUGGCCCUUGCCCUAGGAGCAUUUCGUAGCAGCUUUUCCUCUAAUGUUUUUCAUCCAGCAGGAUUUUUCAUCCUAAGUGGCCAGUCUCAAAGGGGAGGCUGACCUUAUUCUCUUGUGAAUGUAGCUCUUCUUGAUCACUCUCUCCUCCUUCCCUGGGAAAUAGGAAAUGCUGAAAAGAUCUCUUUCUCCACAAGACAUCCCUCCACCAAAUCCCCUCUCCUUUGCUUACCCAGACAGUUGUGUCCGUCAUGUGCCAGGUGGAAUCCAUCAUAGCAGGUACACCGGUAAUUGCCAGGGAUGUUGACACAGUCAUGCACACAACCUGCAUUAUCCUCUCGCUCGCACUCAUCCACGUCUGUGGGCAAAGGGAAGCUGAGACAGCUGAACCCACCUGCGAACCCACUGUCCACCCCCAGACUCAGCCUUAUGGUUGUGUUUACAUAGUUAUGUUCAUGGCCUAUAAGCCAUUUAGCAUUUUUCUGUUUUCAUUUAAACCUAAGUCAUGAACAUUUUCAGGUCUCCAUCCAGUCUUUCUAAUUACCAUUGUACAUGGUUGCAGAAUAUUAUUUUUCUAUUUUUUUCUCUAUUGUUAGAGAUUUAGAUUUCUUUAAUUUAUUUUACCAUCAUAGAUAAUGCAUCAAAGAACAUCUUCUCCCAUGUAUUAUUUUGUUACUUUGAAUAAGUCCCCAAGAGUAAAAUUCCUGGAUCAAAGGAAAUACCUUUUAAGAUUCCUGGUAGGUAUUACAAAAUUACUUUUCAAUUUAUAAUGCAACUAGGAAUUAACAAGUGUACCCUGUCCACUAAAGUCUCACCAACACUGAAGCUCAUAAAUUUAAUAUCUCAAGGCUACUUUAAUUUGCAUUGAUUUAAUUAUGAGGGGAAGAUGUGUUUACAUUAUGAACUUCCUCUGAAGCACACUUUCUGUUCCCAUCCAUUGUGGAUGUGGUGUAAGGGUCUAAAGAUAAAGGUUCCAAUGUCAGGGAACCUCAGGUCUUAGUCUUAUGAUUUUCAUGCUCCCACCCCAGCCAGGUUGUGGGCUGUGAACUGUCCCCACCAGGGCCUCUGCUAGCCUGCAUGGUGCCUUUGUGCAAAUUAGAAAAUGGCACCCUCUCUGGGAAGAUGCAGUUGCCCCCCUCACCACCCCCCCACCACUUGACCAGUGGAAUUUCUAGCCUUGAUGUGAUGGAGAGUGGCCAACUGAGGGCAGUGGCACUGGUUUGCCUUCUUCCACAGGUCCCUCUCCUCCAGGUGCCCUUCCAGCCUCACCUUUGCAGUGUUUGCCGUCCCCUGUGUAGCCAGACUUGCAGAUGCACUUGUAUGACCUCGGGGUGUUCUGGCAGAUAGCAUCGAUGUGGCAGUUGUCAGUCCCCUCCACACACUCAUCCACAUCUGGCAGGGGCAGAGGGGGCACAUGAGAACCUCUGUUGGCACCUCUUAAGGGGUGUCUUGAAGGUGGGCUUCCAAGGGCAGAAUCCCCUCUUCUCUAAAACAGAGGCAGUGACCCCCUCCAGAAACAGGUGCUGUCUCACAUCUCUCUGAUUUCAGAGUAGGCAGACACUGAUUUUGGGAAUUCAGAAGGAACCCCCACUGCCCUCAAAAAUACUAAAUUCACAGUGACAGCUAAAACUCCAUCAUUCGAAACACUCCUUUUUUUAUUUGAAAACAAACAAAAAACCCUUAGAGUGGGUAGUACACUUAACUUGAUUAGGAAUAAUCAACUUAAAGUGAAUGAGUUUACGGAGAAGGCUUAGAGGGAAAGUUAAGGGAAAAGGCAUGGGAACAGUGGUCUCUGGGAAGGUGGCAGGGUCCAGCAAUCACUAGUAAAGGAGGAAGAAAGGGGGAUGGGGCAUCUGAGGGAUCUUCAUCUGUGUCAUGAUUCUGCUUGAGACCAGGCCUGCUUCCACUUGCCCACCAUGGAGCCAAGAAGCUUUAGAGGAAAAAUGUUCCAUCCUGGAUGAUUUUCCUCGGCCCCUGUGCUGCCAACAAUGGAGACAUCCAGAGCUGGCAGAGGUUGGCACCAGCUACCUGAAGCCUAAUAAGUGCAGCCCUUCAGGCCCUAAUCCCCAGUGUUUAGCCCUCUGUCUCCUGGCCCUAGCUCUAACAAUAGGUGCUACACACACAGCUAUACUUGAAGGAAGAGGCCACUCACCAUCUAGCAAAAAAGAGGAUGGUUAGGAAAGGACAUAGAUGAUGCCAGGCGCGGUGGCUCAUGCCUGUAAUCCCAGCACUUUGGGAGGCCAAGGCAGGUGGAUCAUGAGGUCAGGAGUUCGAGACCAGCCUGACCUUGAUGAAACCCCAUCUCUACUAAAAAUACAAAAAUUAGCCAGGUGUGGUGAUGUGUGCCUGUAAUCCCAGCUACUCAGGAGGCUGUGGCAGGAGAAUCGCUUGAACCAGGGAGGCGGAGGUUGCAGUGAGCUGAGAUCGCGCUAAUGCACUCCAGCCUGGGCGACAGUGAGACUCUAUCUCAAAAAAAAAAAAAAAAAAAAAAGGACAUAGAAAAGAGUCCAACUUCUGAGGCAAUAUUAUGGUGCCCUUAAAUCUGAACUGAAAUAGAGAAACAUGUUAUUCAGUUGAAAACGCCUUAUUGAGUGUGUUUGUGAAAGACACUAUAAUGAUAGCUGUGGAGGCUCAAAGGUGACUCAGCCCAGCCAAAAGGAGAAACAAAAAACAUGGAGCAGAAUGUGGUACAUGCCCUGAAGACAUGAGAGAUAAGGUGAGGGGGUCCUCCACCCUGCACAUCAGAGUCAACUCUCCUAGGAGAUGUCCAAGCCACAACCCCAGAGAUUCUGGUCAGAUAGCCUGGACUGGUGCCGGGCCAUCAGUAUUUUUCUAAAGCUCUUCCAGUUAUUCUAAUGUGUAGUCAAGGUUGAGAACCUGUGUUACGGGGCAGAUCAGAGGAGAAAGAGAUUACUUCCAGCUGGAAACUGGGAAACCCAAAAUAGUGUCUUAAGUAGCAGCCUGCAAGUGAGUGAUCACUGAAUGGGAGGCAUUACUCUCCUGUGAUCCCACAACUGAGCACAGAAAGGAGAUGAGAUUUGACACCAAGACAAUUUGAUAUCCAAGUGUGAUCUAUGGGCCAUAGAAUUGCCUAGGUUUUAUUAAAAUGCAGAUUCUCAGGACUCAUUAUAGCCUUUUUGAAUCCAAAUCCUUAAGUGAUUAUUUUUACUGAGUGAAUGGAUGCAUGGACCAGUAUUCUCUCCAAUUUAUAGAUACCCAGAGUCCUAGCUUGAGACAGUUAUCUGUCCUCCGCUUUUAUACUCUGAAACUUCCUGGGGCUAAGAAGAGAACUGAAAUCCCCAAACACCCUGCCUCAAAUCUCACAGGUUUCCGUUCAGCUCUUCAUUCUACCCUUCAACUCCUAUGCAGCCAACCAUCAUACCAGUUGAUUCUAAGUGCUGGGAGCCUCUGUCUACACUUACUCUCCACCUCGCUCAGGCUCCAUAGGCAUGGUGUCUACCUGCUGGCCCAUCCUGGGAAGUCAUCCCAACGUGACAGAAUGGAAAAGAGAGGGCAUGGAAGACUAGUUCAUAGGUAAGGGCAAGAGGGACCUCGCAGAUGGUAAGGUGCUCUGUGGAGAAUCAGUUUGUCCAACUGAUAAACAGAAAACAGUACAAAGAAAUGUGCUAUCACAGAACGAUCUUAAGCACUGGAACCAGUCAGUCCCAGAUUCAAAUCCAGCUCUACCCUUCUCUAGGGAUGGUUUUCUUAUUCUCCAUCUCCUCCCCCUUAAAAUGGGGAUGAUAAUACCUCCUCAUGAGAGGCUGUGAGUAGCUGAUGGGAUAAUUUGUGUAAAUUGGCUAAUAAAGUAUCUGGUAAACAGUAGGGUCCCAAUACAGGAAGCUUGAGAUGGUAUUAAAUCACUGGUCAGGCAAUAGAUGCUCGAGACAGUAUGACAGCCACUAGCCACAUGUGGUUAUUUAAUUUAAAAUUCACUUCCUCAGUUGCACUAGCCACAGGCCAAAUGCGCAAUAGCCACAUGUGGCUAGUGGCUACCAUGGCGGAAAGCAUAGAUAUGGAACAUUUCCAACACCACAGAAAUAGCACUGCUAUUAGCACACCACAGGAUAGCACUGCUCUGGGGUUCUGAAUAAGAGAUACUCCCUGGGUCCAGCAGCACGGAUACUGGUCUGGAACUGCUCCCCUGACCAUAUCAGAGGUAUGUGCCUGUGACUGAAUCAGCUGGUGCUUCACUAGAGACUGUGUCAGACUAUAUGGGCUCCCAAUUCUUUCCUUUGCCUCCCAUUCAGUGCUCACCAGUACUAGAGUGGAUCUUGAUGCUGAUCACCACAAACCCAGGCCUCCCAGCAGAUUCUUUUUUUUUUUUUUUUUUUUUUUUUUGAGAUGAAGUCUCGGUCUGUCACCCAGGCUGGAGUACAGUAGUGGUGUGAUCUCGGCUCACUGCAACCUCUGCCUCCCAGGUUCAAGCUAUUCUUCUGCCUCAGCCUCCUGAGUAUCUGGGAUUACAGGCAUGUGCCACCACACUUGGCUAAUUUUUGUAUUAUUAAUAGAGACAUGGUUUUGCCACAUUGGCCAGGCUGGUCUCGAACUCCUGACCUCAAGUGAUCUGCCCGCCUUAGCCUCCCAAAGUGCUGGGAUUACAGGCGCGAGCCACUACACCUGGCCACAGAUUUUUUAGACCCCUCCUACAGCCAGACUUCUCCCACCAUCUAACUAACCCCUCUCCCUUACCUCCCUGCUCACAAUGCUUAUCCCUCUCCAGCAAAGAGUCUCUGCUCUGGAAGACAUUAUCUCUUCCUGUUCCCUCUACAAUACCUAACCAUCCUAUUCCUUUCUAUGCAUUUGCGUAUUUUCGUUAUUCACAUUGCAGAUGCAUUCCUCAUUUUUCUCUUCCAGCCACACUAUGCUCAGCUUUCCAUUCCAGCUCAAAUUUUUCUUCCCAAAAGCUCUUCCUUGUAAGCCCCGUUCCUGGUGAGUUCCUGGUCCAAGGGGACUGUUCUCCUCAGUUCAUUUACAGCCGUCACUGAAUUGCUCUGCUAAUACUUUAAAGCGUGUUCAGCUUUCCUCACCUGGCUGGGUACCUGCUGAGGAAGAUGUCCCUUCAAUGUUUGGUUGGAGUCUUUUGAAGCAGAACAGACCUAAGACAAAGCUGUGAAAGAGGGCCCCAAAUUAUACCCAGUAUCUCCUCCUUUUACCACUCAUUCUUCCAGAGUUCUCUCCUACCAUAUGUGCCCACCCAGAAUUUGUCCUUGCAAGGACCCUUCAACGCUCACAGCACAGUCUCAUCUUAGCCUGUUCUCUCAGGAUGCAGGUGCUUACUAGCUGGAAAACCAGUUGAUGCUACUGGGUGUGGACUGGUUUAAACCAGCGGUUCUCAACCCUGGGGCUACACACUGGAAUUCCCUGGGGGUUUUGAAAAAAAUGUGAAUGUACAGAUGUCCCCUAGACCAGCUGAAUCAGGAUCUCCAGGGUGAGGCUGUGGCUACUAUCUGUCUUCCUUUCCCAAGGUAAUGCCAAUAAACUAUUUGCCCAAGCUGGGAAGAGACCAGGGCAGCCACAUGACAGAGUAGUUAAGAGAGAGGUUCUGGAGCAACAUUGUCAGUUCAAUUGCUAGCUCUACCUGUGUCUGUGUGGUCCUGGGCCAGCCUCUGAACUUACCUGUUCCCUCCUCUGUAUGUGGGAAUAAUAUUCAUCAUAGUACCUCCCCAUGGGGCUUCCAGGAACAUCAGUUGAAUUAAUACCCAUCAAGUACUUAACACCACAGUGUGGGCAUAUAGAAAGUGCUCAACAAAGGUUUGCUAUUUUUUUCUUUCUUUUUGAAACAGAGACAGGGUCUUGCUCUGCUUAUCCAGGCAGGAAUGCAAUGGCAUGAACAUAGCUCACUGCAACCUCGAAAUCCUGGGCUCAAGUGAUCCUCCCACCUCAGCCUACUGAGUAACUGGGACUAUAUGCGCGUGGCAUCAUGCUCAGCCAAUUUUUUAAAAUUUUUAGAGGCAGGGUCUUGCUAUGUUGCCCAAGCUGGUCUCGAACUCCUGGAUUUGAACGACCCUCUCAUGUCAGCCUCCCAAAGUGCUGGUAUUACAGGUGUGAGUCGCCAUGCCUAGCCAAGGUUUGCUACUAUUAUUCCUUCUCUCCAACCUUCUCCCUGUAUUCUUUCUGAACUCCCUUUCCCUAUCAAAGCCCCAUUUCAGGCCUGGUGUGGGGAAAUGCAGCACCAGGUGAGCAUGUGUUGGUGGGGAGGAUUUGGGGAGACACAUCCCCACUGCUUACUCUACCUGUGCUGGGAACUGCACAAAGAAUGGGGGUGAAGUGGGUGAGAGGCCAGUUGGGAACCCAAAAGCUGUCCUCUACAAUUCUUUUUGAAGGCUAGGGAGAUCCCACUCCUACUUCAGGCCAUGCAUUGGAACCAAAGUUGAGGUGGGGGAGAGUGGUGGCUGCACAGAUACCAUAGACAAGCCAAGACCUCCCUGCCUCGCCCUGUCCUGGCAUGAAGGCACAGGUCUGUAACUACAGCAGCUUUUCCCAGUACCAUCUGACAUUUCUUCUGAAUUUGCUUUAGCGCCUAGCAGAGCACUCCAUAAACUCUCCUAAAGUAGGUAGGAAGGGUAGGAUGGGGUAUGGGAUAUGAGGGUCAGAGGGUCAGACCAGAAAGGGUGGAUUAUUAUAAAACAAGUAGUCCUAAGAUUCUGAGGAUGGGCAGGUGUACCCUAAAAGGGAAGCAGUGGGAUUCCCAAGUAAAUACUUCAUCUACUUCACAAGUUUGCCCAAGCCCAGCUCAGGAACAGUAACAAAUGGAAAUGAGCAGGGAUGCCGGCUGUGGACAAGCAGACCCCCUAGGUAGAGUCCACCCCACCUUCCCAUUACCACAGGAAUUAUUACCUUACCACCCAUAGGGGAGGGGGUAAUUGUGGGCAAAUUUGAUGGGCCCAGUGGGACAGUCAGAAACAGCCUGCCUAGAGCCCUAAUGUACCCACCCACAUAGCUGUGACAUCCUCAGCCCAGCCAGGCUAGCCCAGGAUAUAUGGUGUGUGUAGCGCACUCUGCUAUUUUCCUCUCCUUGAAUGUCCUUGAGGACCCAGUUCAGGUGCCUCUGCUGGGACACUCCCUGUGACACUACCAGCCUUCUCUGAUCUACUCUUUCUCUUGACUCCUAAGACUUACUGUCAGGCUCUCUGGUCACCUGAUCAAUCCCAGGCUUGUGAUACCUCAUAUGCUACCUUGUACCAUUAUUUAACUUUUAGUUCAUGUGUAUAAUUUUCCUACUGAAGCAGUAGGAGCUUGAGGCCAUGGCUCCUAAAGCUUUGAAACCCAUGCAGCAACUGAAAUAGAGCUCAGCAUUCAUUCAUUCACUCACUCACUCAAUAGUUAUUGAGCACCUCCAACAUGCGAAGCACCGUGCUAGGUGCUGGGGAUUUGGCAGUGAACCAGAGAUGAAUUCUACAUUGAAGCCACUUAGUAAAUAUUUGUUAAACAGAUAGACGAGUGGAUGGAGACAUGGAUGCAUUAGUAGUGAGUGGAUAAUGUCUCUAUCUGUGGCAUCCCUUCUGCUCUAUGUUACCUCAGAGAAAAAUCUCACUUCUUUACUCUCCGUGAUCCCACAACUGUUCUGGAUGGGGGAAGUCCCAGGAAGUUUAGUCUCAAGUGGAGAGUAGGGAGAGAGGAAACUAAAUUCAGAGGGGUAGUACCCACUUAAAGGCAUCCAUAUGAUGAGUGCUGGGGCCAGAAGAGACUGGAACCAAUGAGUCAUAGGGUCUCAGGGUCUUCAGACAUCAUAUGGGGCUGCUACAGGGAUCUUUUCAGAGCAUCCCCUUCAACAGAUGUUCCUCAGCCUCCAUGCUAACUCUCAAUGAUGGGGCACCUGACACAGGCAUUCCACUGCUUGCCCCUGGUGAUUUCCCUCAUUCUCACCUCUAAGUAACAUCCAAAAUAAAACCAGCCCAGCCUUGGGCCAUGAUAUCCUAACCCACAGCAUGUGCACAUGUACCCACAUCUGCAUAUCUGCUCUACCUCCAGAUCAAAAUAGCAACCAGGGAGAUUGGCAGAGCCUGGAGUACCAGGCUGUCUUCCCAGUUUGGGACUGGCUGAGGCACUGUGACUUCAGUGAGAGUCUGGGCCCAUCCUCAGUCUAGAAAAAGCUUAUGCAAGGAUGAGGGUAGCCUAGAGAAAGUCCAGAAAACCACACAAAUGACCACCUGUUGAUUCCAAGGCGGAGACAGAGCACUUUCUCCUUUUAAAAACAGUAUCCUCUCCUCUCACUCAAGCUUAGCCUGCUCAACUGAACAGCCAGGAAAAGCUGCUGGUGUUUGGUGAUUUGAAGGGAAGGGGGUCUGAACCUCAGAAGCUUGUCACUUACUGGGGACCCUGAUGAGUUUCUCUCUGUUGUCCUGCCUUAUCCCUAAUCUAGCUCCCUGAUCAUUUGAAUGUAACCCUAAUUGGACAAGAAUUUUCUCCCUUUCAGUAUGGACAAAAUCAACAACCAUGAAUCAGAGACUUUUAGAGGAUGGGUAGUGAAGUGGGGGAAGAACAGAACAUUGUAGAGUGAGGGGCAGAGAGGCAGGCAGUGGGCAUGGGUAGGUUCUGGUUUUGUGAUUAGUAAUAUUAUCUCUUUAAUUGAAAAAAAUAAACUCAUUUCAGAUUCGUAUAAUUUCACUAAGUGUACAGUUUUUUCAUGCAGGUUGGUUCACGUGGUCUUCAAACUGUCCUCUCUCAUCUGGGGCCCAGUGAGGAUACCUCAGGAAAGAGCAAGUAGCUAGUGUAAAGCCAGGAUCCAGGUCUUCAAACUCCCAGUCCAGUGCUCUCUAACUACCCACUGUGUUCUCUAAGCACUUGAGGGAGGAAUCCAUGCCUUAGUCAUUAUUGUACCUCCCCCAACUCCACCUCAGCACUUAGUUCAGCAUGAAGCAUGCAUCCAGUAUAUAACCGUGGAGCGGAAGGAGCUGAAAUGUACAUGAUCCAGGGAGGAAAUCAGCAGUGGGAAUGCAGAUGCUCUGAGGCUUUGGGCAUGGGAGCAGCAGAAGAGAGCAAGGCUGAGUAGUGGGCAGGGAGGGUACAGACACAGUUGCAAUAAGGAAAGGGUGGGCAAUGCAACAGUGGGCAGGUGUUGCCUGCCCUUGGAUUCACUAUGCUGGGGCCAAGCAGCUGGUUAGAAACAAAAACAAACACCAGGGAUACAGGUUCCUGCUGUUAACAGCUUCAAACCGCCAGAGGAAAACUCCAAAUAAAUAUAAUUAGAAACUUGUAAAAACGUCCUCUCUGUAAACCUGCUCCCCAGGGUCUACCCUUCAAGCACUCCCCUUCCCCAGCCCUCCCCCCAAUGCCCACAUAUCCUGAUACUCCCCACUUUCAGAGGGAUUCCUUAGAUGUGUUUCCUUAUCCUGGAUCUUCCCUCCAGCCCUGCAGCCCCUGCCCAGGUCUUUCCUCAGCUUGUUACCACCAGUGACCAGACCUGAAGAGCCCCUGGUGUAGGCUCAGAAAUCCAAACCCCACAGCUCUCUAGGGCUAUGGUUAUAACCACAGGGAAAACCAGAGGUAAGAGCAAGGACCACUGUGCCCUAUAUAGGGGUCAUCAUCCCAUUUGUUCAGCCAAAGCACAGCAUCUAACAGCAACUACAAAGCAGUGCUUGAUCUGCAGGGGGACAUGUCUAGGCUAGGGCAGAAUACAGACAGCUAGUCUCAGAGCUAGAAACACGGAAUCCUGGGGCCCAGAUCCAAGAAUAUUCAGUUCCCAUAACACGGAUAUUUCAGCUCCACUUCCCAACUUUGUUGGAUACACACAUAUAGAAACACACAUGUGUUCUUCAGGGGCUAUUUCCAGGGAUAAAUACCCACUUCAUGGACACAGUAAGAACUAUCAGCUACUUGGGGUUCCAGGAAACUGGGGUGGGGGAAGAAAGGAAGAGUAUCCAGAUGACCUAGCCUCAGGCAGGCAGAAGUGGACCAGCAUCCAAGGAGGAGAGCGCCUGAGAUUUGGGUGAGUAACCUGUGGAGGCCCGGCGCCUUCUGCCUUCAGCAGGAAGGAUUUCAGUGAGAUGUGCAGAAUCUCAGGGCUGCAGGGAACCCUACUGAUAUUUUACAAGUGAGAAGAGGGAUUUCAGUGAUUUCCUCCGAGGCUCAAAUCCUUAGGCUCUGCAUUUGUCUAAACCCACUGGCACCAUAUACCUCUAUAUCCCCGGUGCCACUUGAGGCUGGCAUUGGGUGGGCAUAGGAACAGGAGAGUAGCCAGUCCAAUGUUAAGUGGCCAGUGGGGGAGGGGAGUCUCUGUCCCCUCUUAGCCCAGGUGACUAGCUCCUGUACCCCCUAGACAUCCCUGGGUUGGCCGUUGUUUCGCUUCUAUACCCAAGGCCCAGCAGUCCUUCUGUUUCCAGACUCCAGUCUUCUGAGCCUGAAGAAGCUGUCCCCAGGUCUGGGCCUCUUGCAGGCACUGCCAGCCUCAGAGCAGCUCUGCAGUUUCCAGCCCUGACAGGGACUCUUUCUUAUAAGUGGUCAUGUGCUAGGGAUACGGGAUGUCAAAGGAGGCCCACACCCUGACAUUUGGGGACCAGAGCUGGGGGAAAGGACUGAGUGAGUUCAGGCAGCAAGCUCUUCCAGCUCCAUCUUCUCAAAAGGUCUGAAGCCCUUCGUUCCCUUCCCCUGUCCUCAGUUCAAGGCACUGGACCAAGCCAUUCCACUUCUUUACUUCUCCAACUAAAACAAAAUGCAUAUUGCCCCACUUCCUUUUUCCUCUCACCAGAGCACUUCACACACACACACACCCUGAGUCAUGCACACACAUUCACACGUGUGUGAAUGCACACUUCACAUUCCCAAACUCACACCCAGGGCCGGCUCCUCUUACAACAGGUCCCAGCUGCUCACAUCUCAAACCGGUUCUCAUGCUCUCAGAUUCCUGAAGGUUUCAAAAAACAAUCUCAUUUGAGGGCUGCUGAUGACUGUCUUCUUUCUCUGCCUGCAGUAAUUCUGGCCUUAGUGUCUUCUAGUCCCCUUUCUCUUAUUCCACCCUGCAGAGACUCAAAGAGAUGAGAAGGAAGGGGUUGAAAACAGGGAAAAGUCUCUGUACUCUCCCACCCCGAGGCUUUCCCCACCUCUGAGACAUGUCAUGAGAGAAGAGAGGUCAAAGGGAUUCCUGAGGAAUUUCUAAGCAGUCCACCCUCUUCUCCACCUUCUGGAAAAAUGGGGGUGGGCUUAGAGGGAACUGACUAAAGAUCAGGCUCUGAGUGGGGACUCUCCCUCUCUCCAGUGUGGCCUGGACAGGGCACAGGCAAUAGCCGGCUGCCCACGGGGCCACCCUUACCCGCUGACAUGGUUAUGGUUUUCAUUUCAUAUUUUGGAGGGAGGGGCUAGUAGGAACAGUCCCCUCACUGUAAGAGCUGGCCACAGGAGCCCAGGGAAGCGGGGAGGAAAGGAAACAGCCACAUUAAAGAGGAAGAGAAGGGUGGGAGAAAGAAAGAGACACAUACACCCAGACAGAGACCCGGAGAGACACACCGAGACAGAGAGACACUGUUUGCCACCACAUGAACGCUCUCAGUCCCAGGGAUGGGGUUACUUGGAAAUUCUAAAUGCAUGACUUUAUCAAAACUCUAUCCCUAACAAGGAGAGAAAACUACCAGGUAAACUAAACGGCCAGGCUGGCUCUCCUGGAGCCAGCCCUGGGGACAAGUUUCCCUGGAGGCCGAGAGACCUUUUCAUUCAGCUGUAACCUGAGCCCUAUGCGAGGAUUAGGUCUUUUUAACCACUGCUGCACACACCCCCCCCCCCGCCGCGCCUCCCCCCCGCCCCCCCCCCCCCCGCCAAACACCCACCCCCUUACCAAAAGCAAAGCAAAUUAAUGCUUUUAAGUUAACAAUUAUCUUGGUUAUCCAGUCUGUCUACUUUAAAAUAUACAGACAAGCACUUGAAAAACACUCAAAACCAUGUCCCCUCAUGCUCCCUCCCUUCCCAGUCACACAGGCUUACCCACCUACUCUUCCAUACAGUUCUCACAGACACUAAAACAGCAGUUUACCCUUAGCAACUACGUCACAAGAAACACAGACAUCCAGCUAUGUUGCCUGUGGGUAACUGUGGUGAACCUCUCAUGUGUGCACAGUCGCACACUCACCUUUACACUUAGGGCUCCCUUCCUUGUCUCCCCCUUUCCCCCCUUCCACAUGACUUUGGUUUUCCCAUUGUGGGAAUCACUGAUGAAAAGGGACAGAAACCCAGAUACCCCCAGAGGUAUAGUAACUCCGUGCAAGAUACUUGCCAAGGGUAUUUGAUUUUAAAGACCUGCUAGUGCUUUAUAUAAAGCAUGUGGCAUUAAAGGCACACUUUCUGGCACUGCUGAUAACCAGGAGAUAUGUUUGAAGGUAAGGCCUCCCUGAUGCUCACAGACUGUGUCUAUGGGUAAGGCUGUAAGGUUGCCCCGCCUGGUCAGUACUAGUUCUUCCUGCAGCAUCUGCCUGCAAGUUUGUGUCCAGAGACAUCCCUGUAACCCAGCAAACCUGCUAUUAGGCAACCUCUGGCAGAUGGGGUUUGUAGAUUUCCUGAAGAGAAGGGUCAAUGAAAGGCUUCCAUUCUAGGCCAAGCUUAGGGAUCAGAAGAAAAGAAGGAGGAUACCAAGCUAACUGCGGUCCAGUCACAGGAAGGGUGGCCUGUGAAUGAGAUAAGCUGGGGACAAAAACUACUCUAAGUUCCUUGAGGGCAGGGGCCUUCACUCUGGCAGCAUGUUCCUCAGUACCCAGCAGGGAGUCCAAUGAAAGUGGAAGCCCUGGAGUACCAUGCAGGGAUUCUGACUCCCGUUCCUGAAUCAUGAGCUGAUCUCCCAUACUUGAGUGCCUUGGCUUGAUGGCACCUGUCCCUUGGAGGGGUCUCCAUCUGCCCCUGGGCCCCCCUCGAAUACACUGCUUCUCCUUUGGUCCACAGCCUCACUAGGCCACUACAGACACUGGCUCCAACUUGAAAGAGGCCCUUAUCUUGUCUCUAGGUUACUUCAUGAUAUCUGUUCCUUCCUUCAGACUAAACUCCCCACCUAAUUCCAUGUUAUGAGUAAGUCAGCACACACUACAAAAGCCAGCUUUGUUUAUGAAAACACAAAUCCACAGUGAGGAGAGGGGCUGCUCCCAGGUUGGGGGUGGCAGUGGCGAUGCGCUGUCUGGAACCAGGACUGGAAAAGAGGCAGUGUGGGGCUGGAAGGUGUGGGGGCAGGGUCCAGUAUUUGACAGCUGAGGAUCUCUAGUGUUUCAGUUCUGUGAAAGGACAGGUUGGAGGGGGAAGAGGUUAGCUGAAGAGGCAGUGUUUGGGGAGAGGAGGGCGGCAUUGAUACAGCACCUUCCUCUUCACAGAGCAGGAGCCCAUCCAAUACAACAGAGCAGCUUAAGAGCCAAACGCUCAGGCUCUGGGACACAGCGACCUGUGUCGGACACUCAGGCUUCCCCAACUCCCAAGUUCAACUUUCCUUCUGGCCCAGCCAUCUCCUCACCCAGCUGGCUUCAGGAGCCCCUGGGACAAUAGGCAGAAUCAUACUCUCCUGGGCAAAACCUUGCCAGGAGGAAUUUUCUUUUUGUCCAUAUAAAUCUCUUGUCGGUGAGGACACGAUGGGGGAGGGGUACAGCAAGAGGUCAAGGGGGAGGAGAAACUGUCCCGAGAGAACUGUAGUACAUCAGCCUAGUCUCUGCCUGCACAGCCUUGGGACCUGCCAGGCGAUGAGCUGGGGGUCAGGGACGGGGGCGGGAGGCCUCCCUGUCUCUCUUUAAUUCCUAGAGGGAUCUGUCAGAGCUCCCCGGCCUGGAAUUCUACUUUGUUAUUUUAAUGCAAUUCUGACCUGGAUUUAAAUGGAAUUGGAAACCCGAGGCCUUAAUAAAUAAAUAUUAUGAUAAGAAAUGAAAGCCAUGCAAGACGAAAGAGAUUUCACCCCAAAGAGGCAGAAACGCAACAUUCCUGUCGGGAGCCAGUCACAGAAAUUUUCUUCUCUUCUUCAGCCCCCUACCAUCCGGUGAGAGAUGAGUUGAUUUUUCCAUAAAAGAUCCUAUUUUUCUUCAACAUUUUUCCACUGAUAAGGCAUCAACUUAGAAAUGUCUAACUUUGCAUGCGGGUUGGGGGUAAGGGAAAGAAAUAUACGGCACGGCUGAAAAGUUUUCAUUAUUCCCUCAGUCUCUCCAGGCCACAGCGUAAGUUUCUGGCAAUGUUUGAGAGAAGAGAAAAUUCUCUCUCAGAUUUUGGAAGACAAGAAGUCUUUCGAAGAUGCUGGGAGUGGAUGAAGUCGAGCGGAAUUCUGAGGCGCGUGGUCUCUUCUGCCCACCGCCCCCAAGAGUUUCUCACUCCUCUCUGCCGCCCCCAGCUUGUCCGGCUUUUCGCUCGGGGCGCAGCGCCCAGCGGUCGGGCCCCUGGCCGGGGAGUCCGGGUGCACAGAGCCGGGUUCUGACAGCAGCACGCUCCCCAGCACCUGCCCUGCCCCUCGGGAAUCGCUCCUAGGCCCUGAGGCCCAGCAGCCAGGACAGCCCCCAGGCCGCGCGCCCCUCCUUCCUUACCUUGCGCGGCUUUGCUGUACUGGGCGGCGCGGGCGUGGACCAGCAGGACAAGCAGGCAGAGCCCGGGUACGCGCCCCGAGCCCAUGGCUGGAGCUACUGGCGGCCCAGCCGCCGGGGCCGGUCUCGCGGCCAGGGGAGGGCGGAAGCCGGCCGGAUCCCAGCUCGCAGGAGGGGGAGGGGAGGGGGCGCCCCGCCGGGGCCAGGCCGGGGGCUGCAGUCGCGGGGCGCGGACCGCGGCGCCCUCGGCGCGAGGCUCCCGAUGCUACCGGCUCCUCCUGGCCGGACGUCGGGGAGAGCGAGGCGGAGAGUGCGACGAGGCGAGGGGCGCCAGGGGCGACUGACGGAGGGGAACCCCCGCCCUCUCCAAGCCGGCCUCUGCCAGCGGCGGCGGCGGGGCUGCUCCGUGUAAUCCCACCCAAUUCCCAGCUUCGCCGGGAGAGAGCUGCAGCCGGAGAGCGCGCAGAGCCCGAGCGAAGGACCUGAGAAAGGGGAGGGGAAACGCAGCGCCAGAAACACGCCCUUUCUGCCUCUCUUUCUUCCUCUCUCGCUCUUUCUCCGUCUCUCAGGCUCUUUUUCUUCGCCUUUCUCCUCCUCCUCCUCUUUCUCCUCCUCUCCUCGCUCCUUUUCGUUUUCUUCCUCCUCCCCCUCCUCCUCCUCCUCCUCCUCCUCCUUCUCCACCACCUCCUUUUUCGUGCCCUUUUUUCUUUCAAAUGGGGCCUCGGCGCGGUGGCCGCUCCCCCUGCGCGCCCGGGCGCGGUGGCCCCCUCCCCAGGCUGCCGGGCCGCUGCCUGCAGGAAUUUACAAUCCGGCGAUGGGGGAGCGGGCCUGGUCUCCAUGGAGACGGCUUCCCCGGGAGCAGGGAGGUCAGGCGCAGACCGCGCGCAAUCAAUGGAUCAAUGCAAGCUCCGCUCGGCUCCAGACCAAACAGCACCGGGCUCCGACUCGUCCUCGCUCCCCUAGGAAAGAGUCGGGGAGCGAGGGUGCGUCCCCGCGCUCGCUCGCGAGGACGGCCGUGCGGCGCCAGGUUUGAACGCACACCUCCACCCGAGACAAAGAGGGUGCGAGGUGUUGGGGAGGCUGGGGCAGACGUGGACACACGGACACACGGGCACUCGGGCGUGUCCACCGACACAGCCUGACAGGGGACAUAGGACCUCGGAACACACCGCCUCCGACACCAGGCCGAGUAACAACCUCUCAACUUUUACACCUACCACACCCCCAACCUCAAGACUCAGUCCCCAUUCCUAGAUGCGAGUCCACUUUGAGGACCAAAAAGAAAGUAGCCUCCGCCUGCUAAAACUGCCAGCUCCAGGGCAGACUCCCUUGCAGUUAAGGCCUUGGAGGUAAGCCUAAUGAACCACCCUACCCGCAGAGACAUGGACUCACAUACAGACACUCUCAUGUGGUCAGCACAGGGGCGAAAGCUACCCCACAGAAUCAUGUCUAUGUGUAUAAACACAGAGACAUAGAGACAGGUACAAGAGGCUCCUCCAAACCUGCACCCCGCUUCAAGAGGUGGUCCUGACUGGUCCAUUCUGAACCCUUCAUCCUUCCAACUGAGGGGAAGCAGAGGAAAGAGAAAGGAUAUUUUUAAAACAGGGGCAAACCGCAGAAGGAGCAGGGUCUUCCAACCAUGGAUGCUGCCUCUUGACUGUUCACCCACUCUGUAUCUUCUUUCCUUCCAUUGUAAGGGAAAGAGGAAAGACCUCUUGAAAGGCUAUGAAGACUUUCUUGGAGUGUGAGGCUGUGUUCAGAAUGAGACCAGGCCAGGUCCAGUUUUCUACAGGGAAGAUGCUGCUAGGACCCAGACUAGCCUCACAGAGCCCUCAGCGUACCCAGGAGGAAGAGGCAAUGACCAAGAUCUCCUCAAAGGUGCCGCCAUCUAACAUACCAUCCUUCAGCCCUUGGUGAAGUCCUGAAGCCAGACCUCUGGGAGUCUACUCAGGGAACCCACUGCCUCAAACAAAUUUGCAAAUAAAAUUAUUGUAUUUGAAAUAGGCCCACAUUGGUGAAGUUAAGAUGUGGAACUAAUUGUAUGUGUAUUUCUAUAUAACCACAGACUCAAUGUUUGAUGUUUGACAUUUAUUGUGCACUUACUAUGUACCAGGGACUUAAAGGAUGUGGGGAUUCAAAGAUGACAUGGUUUCUCCUUUUAAGUUUAUGAUUUGGCAAGAGAAAUUCACAUCUAAAUAAUUGGAAUAUAAGGCAGAAUGUGGUAAAUGUCCAAACAUGGAGGUGCCAACAUAAAAUUCUAAUGAGGGCAUAAAGAGCACAGAUUAAUUCCAGCUGGAAGCAGGAGGACAACUCAGUGGAGGAGGAAAGGGUUUAAAGCUGACCUCAAAGAAUAUAUAGAAUUCUCAUACAUGGAGUUGGGUGAAGAGAGUGAGGGCUUUCCAGGUGGCAGGAACAACAUGAGCAAAGACUUGGAGAGGAGAAUGUCUUCAGGGAAUUAAUAAUUGGUUCAAUCAGAGACAAGUAUUUCAGAGAGUGUGGAGGAAGAUCUGAAAGGUGGGAUGGGGCUAGACAAUGAAGAGCCUGUUUCCAUCAGAUGCUAAGCGACUGACAGUGUUGCAUAGGCUCCGGGAACCCGGCAACUUUACAGCAAAGUAGCAGCAUGGCGGGCUCACUUCAUGAAUUAGCUUUAUGUGUGCUCCAGGAUUUCUUCAAUGUGUUGAUUUUUAGUGAAUUUAUUUCAUCAUGAAUGCAGGAAGAGAACAGAAAGAAAAACGGGGAAAAGAGGACAUAAAAAGAAGUGGGCUGGGCAUGGUGGCUCACACCUGUAAUCCCAGCACUCUGGGAGCCUGAGGCAGGCGGAUGACGAGGUCAGGAGAUCAAGACCAUCCUGACUAACACAGUGAAACCCCAUCUCUACUAAAAAUACAAAAAAUUAGCUGGGUGUGGUGGCGGAUGCCUGGAGUCCCAGCUACUCGGGAGGCUGAGGCAGGAGAAUGGUGUGAACCCCAGGAGGCGGAGCUUGCAGUGAGCCGAGAUUUGGCCACUGUACUCCAGCCUGGGUGACAGAGCAAGACUCCGUUUCAAACAAACAAACAAACAAAAAAGAAGUGACAGGGAGGGAAAUAAUGGACAGAAGGAAAAGAGAGAUGGAGAAGGAAGAGAGAGAAAGAGAAGGAGGCAGCCCUGGAGGAGACAAGGCAAACCCUGAACUGUUCAGGGGCCAAGCUUAAGGAGCUACUUGGGCUUUUCCAGGCAAACGACCUCUGGCUUCUUGCCCUGGCCAACCACAGAGGACAAUGUGAGGCGAGUUUGUUUGGUGAUGUGUUUUCUGCUGGCCCUGUUUGUUUGUUUUUCAUUUUUCUGGUAUUGGACAGAUCUGGGGUGAAGGAAGAGGGAGACAGGGUUGUGGCUGGCAUUGAUAGUGGUCCUUGGGCUGGGCUCUGGGCUGCCCAGAGCCCCCCUUUAGUGGGGGCUUAUGGGCAUUGGAGCUGAACUUUUGAUGUCCCUGGAAGGGGGCCUUUUUGUAGGUGCCCAGAGCCAGGUGGCCUUCCCAAGCCUGGAGAUGGUUUGCCCUAAGCUCUUUGUCUCUGUCUUUCCCCACCCUGGCAAGAAAGAAUUAGUCCUUGAGGCCUGGGCUCCUUGCCUGUGUAGCCAGGAUGUCGUGCUGGGCUGGGGAGCCCAUGGGGGUAGCAAGAGCAGCUGCUUCCAGAUUGGUGCUGGGGAACGCAGGGGCAGUCCACGAGAGCCAGCCUUCUCCCCAGCCCCGAUGAUGAGUCUGGCUUUCUCUCCCGUCCCACAGCCCUUGGAAGCCAACCUAACAAGUUCUAUUAAAGUUAAUGAAACACAAUGAUUCCUCUGUUUGCUUGGUUACAACUCAUUACGAGUUGCUCUUGCUUGCUCGGCUUUUGCAGAGGAGAUUCAUUUGAGUAGCCAGUGCUUGGCCUUUGUCCCCCUAAUUUUUACUGGCCCAUUAACAAGAUCAGACACUUUGGCUGACCAGGAAUAUCUAGUACCCAAGUCCCAACAAAACCCAUUGGGUGGAGUUUCAGAUGACCUUUUGAGUCUAAAUUAGCCUAAAAACAUGCUGCCGCCCUUCCUCCCUCUGUUGCUUCCCUAUAUCCAAACUCAGUUUUAUAUGUAGGUACAAUAGGAGUAUGCAGAGAUUUCAGAAGUUAGGAGAUGCUUUUCCAGCCUCUUUAGAAUGUAUCUCAACCCACUGAUUUAGAGAAGUUCCCUAGUAAGAGCUCCAGCUCGAUUUAAGGGCUUUCCUCCCCCAUUUAAAUGGAAAUAAACUGAACAUUGUUAGUCACUUAUACUUUGGUGUGAAUUAGUUCAUAUUGUCACUUUAAGGGGAUUUGGGAGUCUCCUAAAUUGUAUACAAACUUUUGUCCACAUUAUCCAUUCUUCCAGAGAGAGGUUUUCUAUAGCUUUCUUCAAAAUUUCCAUAACCGUCCCCCCACCCCCUACCCCAACACGUACACACACACACACACAAACUCUCUCUCUCUCAAAAGGUUAACAACCUCUGUGUUAGUAGAAGAGUGGGCCGUAACUGGGGCACAGAAGACAAACUCUCCUUCCUUCACCAUCUGCUUGGCCAGUCCUGCCUCUAAGGAGGGACCUUCCCCUCCUCCUUGAGUUCCUUAUCCACAGACCUCCCAUUGUCACCACAGCUCAAUCAUGUGCUUCCCAAAUCUUAAAACCAACCUCAAGUUGGUGGGGAGGAGUCAAAAGGAGAGCCCUUGAACUCUAUGUUGAUUUACAUGCCGAGGCUGUAAAUGAUAGGUUUACAUGCUGGUGUAAAUACUCAUAAACUCGCAGUAAGUGCAGGGCAUCACAUGCUUUCAGUGUCCAGAUCCUCUGCAGCCCGUACAGGCCUGGCAUUCUCAGGGUCAGGGAGGAGAGCGCCGAGUUGGCAGCAGCUAGCAUGACAGGGGCUGACUAUGACUAUGGAGGAAAAGGGCGUGCUUGGAGUUGGUCUCUAAACCCUCAUCCUCUCCCAUACAGCAGGUGGCUUCUGCACAGUGAUACCUUGGCAUGACUCCCCCUGCUGCUCAGCCAGCCUGACUGUUCUUUUGGGUUAAAGCAUUGUCUCCAGAAGGUCCCUGUUAAAAUGCAAAGGGGCUUCUUGCAGGGUGACUUGGGCUGGUUGGCUGACUGGCUGUCACUCAACAGAAAACAGAGACCCCAGAUCAGGGAGGUUAAGGUUUGGGAGAAAGGUUCAGGUGGGUCAAUACUAUAGCUAUAUGAAGUUGAUUUAAAUGGCUUUCCAGGUGUUCUCCCUAAUUCCACUCUUGGGGGCUGAGAAUCUAUCCUUCAUAUGGCAGCCAGAGUCGUUUUAAAGCUGGGCCAUACAACCUCAACGUGAUUGACGUUUGUUGGGGGGCCAUCCUAUGCAUUGUAGCACAUUUAGCAGCAUCCCUGGCCUCUACCCACUAGGUGCCAGCAGCAGCACUCCCUCCCCACGUUGCGACAGCCAAAAAUGUCUACAGACAUUGACACAUGUCCCCUGGGGGAGGGGAGUGAAAUCAUACCCCCUAUCUUCACUUCCCCCUGCCCCACUGAGAAUCUCCAUCAUAAAGUGUAAGUCAGCCCAUGUUACUCCCUGGUCAAAAAUCCUACCAUGUCUUCUCAUUGUUCUGAGCAUGAAAUCCGCCGUUUGGCCCAGCCUUCAAGGCCUUGUGUAGUCCAGCCUUGCCUCCCUCUCCUGCCCCACCUUGUACCCCUCUGCUGUCAUCUACCAUCACCCUUUAGCCACAUAUAACCCUUUUUGACAUACCUCGAUAAACCAAGCUCUUUCUUGGACAGGGUGGAAGAUGGAGAGAUAUGGGCAGAUUUAGAGUAAGUUUCAGAGGCCCUAAUUUCUUUGGAUUUUACUGGGAGGCCUUUUCUUUUCGCUUUUUUGAGAUGGAGUUUAACUCUUGUCGCCCAGGCUGGAGUACAAUGGCGUGAUCUCGGCUCACUGCAACCUCUGCCUCCUGGUUUCAAGCAAUUCUCCUGAUUCAGCCUCCUGAGUAGCUGGGAUUACAAGCGCUUGCCACCAUGCCCGGCUAAUUUUUGUAUUUUUUAGUAGAGACAGGGUUUCACCAUGUUGGCCGGGCUGGUCUUGAACUCCUGAUCUCAGAACGUAAGCUCCAUCAGAGCAGGGACCAUGUCUGGCUUGUUCACUAUCGUGUCCUCAUCAUCUCCUGUACUGCCUGCCACAUGAACAAUGGCCAUUAACAGGCAUGGAACUGGAGCAGAAAUGGAAUGAACCCUAGGGGCCUGGGAGCCUGGAGGGGUGUAGGAGUGGGGAGGGGAUUGGGGAGACAGGCGGCAGAGGAAAGCGCCUGCCCUCGCCUCCUCCCAUCACCCCCUAUACCCCUGUCCCUAAUGAGGUGCUUCUGGCGGCACCUGACUUUUCCAUUGCAAACACCACUUGACUCUCGGCCCUUCACACUCUCAUGAGGUUCUAAGGGGCUGCACAGGCGCCGCCCACCCCAGCCAUGCCCUGGGACUCACCACACACCAGGAAGGCCGGGAGCUGCAGCAAGGGGACAGCUUAAAACAGCCCCACCAACACCCCAAAGUGGGUCUCCCAGUUCCCCGAGAAGGCCUGGAUGCCCUGCUGAAGGGUGAGCAGGGCCAUGUGGGUGACUUGGAGGACCCAAUUCCCCGGCCAUGGGAACCCCCAGCCUGGGCUUUCUUUGGGGGUAGCUGAGACAACGAGCCCCCACCCAGAGCAGGAGAUGACGCAUUUUUUCUGUGGCCACAAGCCACUUUGACGGGUCCGCCCCACUGGGGAGCAACCGAAACCUCAUCCCACCCAAAGCGGCCUUUGUCUGCACUACAUAUUUGUCUUAUUUGGAAGAUUUUUGUGGGUUUUCCUGUCUUUCUCCAGCGCUCACUGCCCUAAGGGGGACGAAGGCCAUGGCGGAGCUGAGGGAAGGGGGUGAGAGGCAUUCUUGGGGCGCUGUGCCUGGUGGUCUGCAGCACAUUUGGGGGUGGGAGAGAAAUCCACCCCACACACCCUCGGCGCCCCAGUGAUGCCUUGGCCCCAGGCCACACUCUGGGCCUUGCCUGUCCUCUGUGGACUCGUGCCCCUCCUGGUCCUCCCAGAGCUGUUUCCUCUCCAUCUUCUCUCAGCCUCCUCAGCUCACUCUCCAAUACUUCUGUUUAUUCCCUCAUGUUCCAUCCUUCCAGCCAGCUUGGCACCUCAUCAUUUCCUACCUCCCCCGUCAUGGGACCCUCUGCUUUCUUUCUACCUGUCUGAAUUCUGAAGACUCUCCCAGGGCUUGUUCCCCCAUCUUGCCUCCUCCUGGGAGCCUCCCUGGACUACUGUAGCGCUUGGCAGGAUCUCCUCCUUCUGAAAUGUAAAAGUAUGUGUUUUCUAUCCUUUCUGUGAUUCUAAACACACCCUGCCCCUAUACCACCUGCCCAGCUAAAUAGAGGCCAGAGGCCAUGGCUUUUGUGCCUUGGCGUCCAAGCCCCAUCCUGCCUUGUACAAAGCAAUUGCUCAACUAAUAUUUGUUGGUUUGGGGCUUCUUAAGGGCUACCCAUGAGAUUACCAACAAAUUAGAGAAUUUCAGUGAUGGAAGGGACCUAAGAGCUUGAAUUCUUGCUAAGGGGUGUCUGGGUUCAGCUUACAUACCUUUAAUGACAGGGAUCUUACCACUUCCUGGGGCAACCCAUUCCCUUGCCUGUAACUCUGACCAUAAGAAAGUUCUUCCCCACGUUGAGCUAAAACCUGCUGCCUUCUGGCUUUCCCCACCCUACUCCCAACUAGGUCACAUCAAACUAUUCCAGUCCUCUUUCCUCACGACCACCCUUCAGAUAUUUGAGGGCAGCAAUCUCCUACCUCUGCAGUCUUUUCUUUUCCAGGGGGAAACACCUGUAGUCCUAACCUUCAGUGCCCCAAUGCCCCUGAUGACCAUGGACUUUGGGUAUUCCCCCCCACCCCUGUGCUGGGCCUCUCCCACAUCCCUGCUGAACUCAUUCUUCUCACAAAAUCCCC